rnacentral:lncRNA from 1 species
UAUUAAUUAAAUUAUAUAUGUAUUUUAAGGUUAUGUUUUUUAAUAAAGAAAUUUUAUCAGGUAAGAACCAAUGGUCAGAGAUGUUUGUUAUGAAGGAGGGUGUUCCUAUUUGGCCGUAUUGGGAUAGUAUUCUUGCUGAUGAGAUAAGAAAUGAUAAUCUUGAUCUUCUUGAAGUUCCUCAAUACGGGCGAAACCUUAAUGAGACUGGUUGAUUGGCUAAAUACGAGUUGCUUUAUGUUGAGUAAUGUUAUGCUUUCAAGAGUUUGUAUUUCAUAAACAAAGUGUGGAUUUGGUACCUCAAAAUGCAAUUUUAUAUCACUUUGCAUGAAAGACAUAUAUGAAAUACUUAGUAUUUAAUAAAUAAGCAUAGCGUUACUCUUUUGUAUUGAAUAAAUAAAAGACUUGUACUAUUGCCAGUAGUUUAAUUCAAUAAAUAAGAUGAUCUCUUCAGAUGUAAAAAAAUAUCCUUUGAUUGCAUCAUGUACUUUAGUUUUCCUAAAAAUAAAAAAGGUUGAUUGUGUGUUGAUUUGUUAUUAUUAUUAUUAUUGAGCAAAAGCACAACUAAGUACGAAUUUUUUUUUUUUUGAGAAAAGGGAAAAAUAUUAGAAAUUUAAAUGGGAGGACAAAGAUUGAGCCUAGAAAGAAGCUCAAUAAAGUAAAAAAUUAAAAAAAAAACAAAGAAACAAAUAAAGAUGAGUCAUGAUAUGAGCGCAAAGGGCAACACAAUGGUGGCAUAAAUAAAUGGGGUCCUAAUACUGAGGUAACUGAGGCUUCAUACAUUAUUUAAUAUUGAGAUUUUUAUAAAUGAUUAUUACUACUUGAAAAUUGACAUUAGGUUCAAAGGUCCUAAUUAGUCCAUUAGAUAUGUAUUUUAUAAGGGAUCUAAGCUACUAUGCCAGGGUAACCAUUGUGAGCUAUGGUUUGGAAAGUAUGAAUGCACUAAUUUGAGGAUUAAUUCACACAGAAUUCUUAGCUAAGCCUACUUGGGGACCUUUCUCAUAAGAGAAUGCUUUAUGGAACGGAUUAGUAGAUAACCAAUAAUCAUAAAAAGCUCAUAAGAGACCUAAUACUGCCUAAUGGUAUGUAGGCCCAUUAUUGAGUCUAUGCCAAGGUCAGUAUUUUCGAUCUAGUAGUUAACUCUAGCUUAAGCCCAUAAACCCUCUUAGAAUACUUAUGAAACCCUGAGAAUCUAUUCCUCUUUUGAGAUUCUUGAUUACUGCCAAUUAGGUUUACCUUCAAACCUUAUACACUAUUCAAGCAUGCUUAAACGACCAUUAAGCACUCACCAACAUCCUAACUAUUAUUCAGUAGCCUAAACACCCUCUAAAGAGCAACCUUUGCAACCAUCCACCUUCUUUGUUCAAGGAAAGGUCUUCUUGUUGACCAAAUAACCAUAGUUUAGAUUUCUUUAUUCUUAAAAAACCCUAAACUAGUCGUCCUCACCAUCAUAUCACUAUUAAAACACAUUCCUUGACUAUGAACAAUCCUUCAUUCUUAGUCAAACAUGUUUCAACCCUCAAGCAUUGACCUUAAAUCCAACGAACUAUUACAACAAUAUUCUUAAAUUCAACACUCAAAUACUUUUAUUCUUAUAACUAGUGUCAAAACCACCCUAAACACCGUCCAAUCACACUUUAAGGUUUCAAUUAUCUCAAAAUUCCACCUUUAACCCUUAAAUCACAUUAGGACUUUUUCCUCGUUUUUUGUUGUAUAAGUCCCUAAGGCAUGAUCUUAAACCCUGGUUGUCUGUUAUUCAUGGCACUAUAUUAUUAUUAUUCAAACCCAGAUGCACCUGUUCGACAAGCAAGCCAUGCUCAAAGUUUUAACACGAGUUUAUUCAGACCGCAUCAAUACCCAAAUAAUCUUAUGAACCUUAAUCCUCAAAAUAUCAUCAAAAUAGCUUUCAUAGACCACAUCCAGACCUAAGUCAUAGAAUAGGCUCAAAUCCUAUUUCUAAUUGAAGAAGGAUUGUCUCCAACCAAUAUAGGGGAGACAUUGGACGGAUUAAAAUCCCAACAAAAUAAUGAUUUUGCAGUUAGUUUUGUUUAUUGUUUCAAUAAGGAUAUUUAGCUAAAUUUGAAAUCGCCAAUGAUGCUUCAGUUCAUUUUCUUUUAAAAAAGGAUUGAAGAUGAAUUGUUGUGAUGAAGAUAGUACGUUUGUCAUUUUUAAAAUUUCAAAGUUAAAAUUGUGCCUAUGAUAAACAAAAGAGUAAAUAUGCAUUUUUGCAAUUUUAAAUUAUCAAGUAUAAAAUAAAUUUUAGCAUAAAUUUUUAAACAUAUUUAACAAAGUUAAUUGAAAAAUGACUACUUGAUGCAAUUUAAAAACUAUAGGUGGUGCACAAUUAUUGAUUGAAAUUUUUUAUGACUAUUUGAACUUUCAACAUUUGUCACGUGAUUUUGAAAGCACGUAUUCUCAAAGGCUUUAGUUAUCUUAUGUGAUUAUGUAAGAUACAUGAUUCUUCCACAGCUAUUAAAUGAAAAUCUAAUAGUUGUAGAAAUAAUAUAAUUUUAUUAUAUUAUAUUUUUAUAACCAUUGAAUUUUCUUCAUCAAACGACUGUAGAGAAAUCAUGUAUCUAACAUAAUUAGGUAAGAUAACAAUCUCCAUUCUCAAAAUGAAAAAUGAUAUGGAGACUAUAAAUCAUGACAAACUUAUGACAAAACAGCACUAUGAGCGUCGUUUUCAGCUUUUUUUUUUCUUCUUUUCCCUCAAAAUUUCUAUCAUUUCAAAACAUCUGUCAAAUACUGUAAGUCUAUAAUGAAUUUAAAAAAAAGUCGGCAAAAGCAAUUGAUCGAUGUGACAAAUUGUACCAUCACCUUUGCAUGAUUAAACUAUGGUCUAAUGUAAUAUUAGUUUUAUUUUGAUUGUAAUACUAAUGUUAAAAAAAAUUACGGUCACGUAUUUCCCAUACUCAAACAAGAUUGGCAGAUUUCGUUGUAAUGGAUGAUAUAAUAUAUGUUUAAGAAAUUUCUUGAUAAAGAAAAUUCAAUAAUGUUACCAAUAGAACACCAACGUGAAAAAUAUUGUCAAGAAAUGCCAGCAUAAGUUCAUGAAAUAUGAAAUUACUAUAAUUUGCGAAUAAGAAAUUCCAAUAAAUCUCAAACCAAUUCUUAUUGUAUGAAUCCCUUGACCAUUUUUUACCAUAAUUUGGCUCUUUGGUGAAUUUGUUUUACCAAUCAACUUGAUUGUAAUCAACUACAAUUGGUGUGUUGCCAAUCACUAUGUUUUGUUGCCGCUGAUGGGUAAUUACGUUUUCUUUAUGUUUCACGAGUCCGUAAAAAUAACAAUAAAAAUUGUAUUGCCUUGCCUGUCUGUCCUGCGGCCAUAACAUUUUUUUUUAUAUUAAUUAAUCUGUUGAUAGGAAGUCAUCUAUUACCAUCAUCAUCAUCAUCAUCAUCAUCAUCAUUUGGGUUAUUAAGUGAUGGAGCAAAUAAUUAAUUUGAACAGAACGUUCUUUAUUAAUUUUUAUUUACUUGUGCAAUUACUGUGUUAAUAGAUUUACUUUAAAAAAGAGUGAGACUAUUUAGUAUUUACAGUCAUAAAAUUAUUCAGAAUACUCAUUUUCGAACUUAAAAAUUCUAGAGAACCAAUGCCUUAAAAAUAAACGACAAUGUGAUAUAGUAAUAUCAAAUUUUAGUUCGGGUAAAGAUAAUUUAUAUCCAUAAAAUUUCUCUCAGUAUUCAAUUUCUGAAAUGUCUUUUACUUCAAAAUUUAAAGAAUUUUAUAUUUACUUCUUACCCUCUCUAAAAUUUCAAAAAUAACUACCAAUUACGAUUACGAUUUUCUCUCCAAAUUGUGAGUCAAUUUAUACUCUCUUUCUGGUUCCUACCUAAUAAAUAAACUAUCUAGUGACAUCCAACACAUGAGAUAACAAAUAAAUUAAUUACAAUUUGAUCAACCAUUGUUUAGCCAACCAUCUCAAACCAGCUCGAUCGUCAGAAUCUCAGUCUUUUUGGAUACUUUUAAUUAAAAGCUGACUCCGAUUAAAGAAACUCAUGCAGGAACUCGCUCAGCUACUUGCUUAAUUCUGACUACACACAAGGACAGGGGGAGAAAAAUCUAUCCUGAGUUGAUUGAAGAUUAAGAAAACUUCUUUUGCACAGGUACACAUUUAGGCUGAGUUCAGUUGAAUGCCAUUUCUAAUCCUCGCAUUAUUCUGUGCAUGUUGUUUAUGAAUAAAUUUCCUAAUAUGAUGUUCAGGUAAAAAGGUAAAUACGAUUUUUCCACUUCUGUUGAGCGGCAAGCACAAAUUGUCCUGUUACAAAAUGGAGACGCUCUCGGCUCACUUUUUUUCAUUCGGUUGAGAGUAGUGUUAUUGAUGAGAUGAUGUUGAUCGACAUAGGAGAACCUUGGCCAAAGUAAUUAACUGAUGGCUAAAUUUGAAUUGUUUUCUAUUAGAUAAAAUAUUAUGCUUCUAAUAGUUUUUAUUUUUUUUUUUUUUUUUGGCCGAACCUCGCCGGAAAUUCAUUGAAAGUGAACAAAGAAAUACACUGUAGGGUAAUUGAUACGCAUACAAUUAAGCUCAUCUGAUAUGUAUGGGCAGAGAAUUGUGAAUGGGUAUGUACUUGCGGGCAGAGUUGAAGGGGACAGAACAGAAACCAUCUUCAUGUAGUUCACAAAUCACAACAGAAACGAUAAUGGGCUUGUAUGAACAAAAUGAAAUUUUAUAUGCUUAAAUAUACAAAUGAUAGAAAUUAAGUGACCUUCGUAGAUAAAUUAUAACAAAAUUUUAGCUGAAUAUAAAUUCGACUUAUUUAUUAAAUAGAUAUACUUAAUAAAAUAACAAGACGAUUAAUGUGUAUUAAAUGAUUGAUAUAGACACAACUGAAAUAGCUCUAAUGUGAAAACAAGAAAAGUCCCGCUACCAAUAAUUCAGAGGCAGGCCCCACGGCCAUCAAUAAUUACGCCAAAGUGAAGCAAAAGCCAGAGGCAGGCCCCACCGCCAUGAAUAAUUCAGCAAGCUUCACAUGCUUUUGCUCGACGAACCGGGCAUGGGUGGACCAAGCACCAUUGAAUAAUUGCAAAAAAUGAAAAAUAAAAAUCAGUGUCCAGCAAAAAAAGAAUCCAUAUUCAUGUGUUGCUUCCUAUUCAGUACAUCUACCUAGCAUUUAAAAAAAAUGGAAGUAGAAAUUAAAACUCACUUUUUUAGAUAUGGCUCAUAUAUAUUACAAGUAUCAAGAUUUAAUUAGAGUUCACAUAUUUACAAUGUGUCUAGUUUUAACUGAUUAAUAGAUAUUAUGAAAUGGGAAUCUCCGAAACAUGAUAGUCGUGUAUGCCAAUUGCCACGGGCCCCACGUGCGGGGCCAAUGGCUUUUAUGUAAUUGGCCGUCGCUACUUGGAUGUGUAUAAAUACCAUCUCAAGGCGGAACCAAAAUCUCACCUCGCUCAAGUCUCUCAAACUACUUGCUUUUCAUUGCAUUAAUAGGAAGAGUUCUUUAAUUUUCUGAUUUGAAGAAUAUGGAAGCUGUUUUUGCAGGUACAUUUUAAGACAAGUUCACUUUGAUUGCCGCUUCGAAUUCUUAUCUUCUCUCUCUACACACACACACACACACACACAUAUAUAUAAUUCUUUAUUAAUUAAAUUAUAUAUGUAUUUUAAGGUUAUGUUUUUUAAUAAAGAAAUUUUAUCAGGUAAGAACCAAUGGUCAGAGAUGUUUGUUAUGAAGGAGGGUGUUCCUAUUUGGCCGUAUUGGGAUAGUAUUCUUGCUGAUGAGAUAAGAAAUGAUAAUCUUGAUCUUCUUGAAGUUCCUCAAUACGGGCGAAACCUUAAUGAGACUGGUUGAUUGGCUAAAUACGAGUUGCUUUAUGUUGAGUAAUGUUAUGCUUUCAAGAGUUUGUAUUUCAUAAACAAAGUGUGGAUUUGGUACCUCAAAAUGCAAUUUUAUAUCACUUUGCAUGAAAGACAUAUAUGAAAUACGUAGUAUUUAAUAAAUAAGCAUAGCGUUACUCUUCUGUAUUAAAUAAAUAAAAGACUUGUACUAUUGCCAGCAGUUUAAUUCAAUAAAUAAGAUGAUCUCUUGAGAUGUAAAAAAAUAUCUUUUGAUUGCAUCAUGUACUUUAGUUUUCCUAAAAAUAAAAAAGGUUGAUUGUGUGUUGAUUUGUUAUUCUUAUUAUUGAGCAAAAGCACUACUAAGUACGAUUUUUUUUUUUUUGAGAAAAGGGAAAAAUAUUAGAAAUUUAAAUGGGAGGACAAAGAUUGAGCCUAGAAAGAAGCUCAAUAAAGUAAAAAAUUAAAAAAAAAACAAAGAAACAAAUAAAGAUGAGUCAUGAUAUGAGCGCAAAGGGCAACACAAUGGUGGCAUAAAUAAAUGGGGUCCUAAUACUGAGGUAACUGAGGCUUCAUACAUUAUUUAAUAUUGAGAUUUUUAUAAAUGAUUAUUACUACUUAAAAAUUGACAUUAGGUUCAAAGGUCCUAUCCAGUCCAUUAGAUAUGUAUUUUAUAAGGGAUCUAAGCUACUAUGCCAGGGUAACCAUUGUGAGCUAUGCUUUGGAAAGUAUGAAUGCACUAAUUUGAGGAUUAAUUCACACAGAAUUCUUAGCUAAGCCUACUUGGGGACCUUUCUCAUAAGUGAAUGCUUUAUAGAACGGAUUAGUAGAGAACCAAUAACCAUACAAAGCACAUAAGAGACCUAAUACUGCCUAAUGCUAUGUAGGCCCAUUAUUGAGUCUAUGCCAAGGUCAGUAUUUUCGAUCUACUGGUUAACUGUAGCUUAAGCCCAUAAACCCUCUUAGAAUACUUAUGAAACCCUGAGGAUCUAUUCCUCUUUUGAGAUUCUUGAUUACUGCCAAUUAGGUUUACCUUCAAACCUUAUACACUAUUCAAGCAUGCUUAAACGACCAUUAAGCACUCACCAACAUCCUAGCUAUUAUUCAGUAGCCUAAACACCCUUUAAAUAGCAACCUCUGCAACCAUCCACCUUCUUUGUUCAAGGAAAGGUCUUCUUGUUGACCAAAUAACCAUAGUUUAGAUUUCUUUAAUCUUAAAAAACCCUAAGCUAGUCGUCCUCACCAUCAUAUCACUAUUAAAAUACAUUCCUUGACUAGGAAUAAUCCUUCAUUCUUAGUCAAACAUGUUUCAACCCUCAAGCAUUGACUUUAAAUCCAACGAACUAUUACAACAAUGUUCUUAAAUUCGCCACUCAAAUACUUUUAUUCUUAUAACUAGUGUCAAAACCACCCUAAAUACCGUCCAAUCACACUUUAAGGUUUCAAUUAUCUCAGAAUUCCACCUUUAACCCUUAAAUCACAUUAGGACUUUUUUCCCGUUUUUUGUUGUAUAAGUCACUAAGGCAGGAUCUUAAACCCUGGUUGUCUGCUAUUCAUGGCACUAUAUUAUUAUUCAAACCCAGAUGCACCUGUUCGACAAGCAAGCCAUGGUCAAAGUUUUAACACGAGUUUAUUCUGACCGCAUCAAUACCUAAAUAAUCUUAUGAACCUUAAUCCUCAAAAUAUCAUCAGAACAACUUUCGUAGACCACAUCCAAACCUAAGUCAUAGAAUAGGCUCAAAUCCUAUUUCUAAUUGAAGAAGGAUUGUCUCCAACCAAUAUAAGGGAGACAUUGGACGGAUUAAAAUCCCAACAAAAUAAUGAUUUUGCAAUUAGUUUUGUUUAUUGUUUUAAUAAGGAUAUUUAGCUAAACUUGAAAUCGCCAAUGAUGCUUCAGUUCAUUUUCUUUUAAAAAAGGAUUGAAGAUGAAUUGUUGUGAUGAAGAUAGUACGUUUGUCAUUUUUAAAAUUUCAAAGUUAAAAUUGUGCCUAUGAUAAACAAAAGAGUAAAUAUGCAUUUUUGCAAAUUUAAAUUAUCAGGUAUAAGAUAAAAUUUAGCAUAAAUUUUUAAUAAUUGUUGAUUGAAAUUUUUUAUGACUAUUUGGACUUUCAAUAUCUGUCACGUGAUUUUGAAAGCACAUAUUCUCAAAGGCUUUAGUUAUCUUAUGUGAUUAUGUAAGAUACAUGAUUCUUCCACAGCUAUUAAAUGAAAAUCUAAUAGUUGUAGAAAUAAUAUAAUUUUAUUAUAUUAUAUUUUUAUAACCAUUGAAUUUUCUUCAUCAAACGACUGUAGAGAAAUCAUGUAUCUAACAUAAUUAGGUAAGAUAACAAUCUCCAUUCUCAAAAUGAAAAAUGAUAUGGAGACUAUAAAUCAUGACAAACUUAUGACAAAACAGCACUAUGAGCGUCGUUUUCAGCUUUUUUUUUUCUUUUUUUCCCUCAAAAUUUCUAUCAUUUCAAAACAUCUGUCAAAUACUGUAAGUCUAUAAUGAAUUUAAAAAAAAGUCAGCAAAAGCAAAUGAUCGAUGUGACAAAUUGUACCAUCACCUUUGCAUGAUUAAACUAUGGUCUAAUGUAAUAUUAGUUUUAUUUUGAUUGUAAUACUAAUGUUAAAAAAAAUUACGGUCACGUAUUUCCCAUACUCAAACAAGAUUGGCAGAUUUCGUUGUAAUGGAUGAUAUAAUAUAUGUUUAAGAAAUUUCUUGAUAAAGAAAAUUCAAUAAUGUUACCAAUAGAACACCAACGUGAAAAAUAUUGUCAAGAAAUGCCAGCAUAAGUUCAUGAAAUAUGAAAUCACUAUAAUUUGGGAAUAAGAAAUUCCAAUAAAUCUCAAACCAAUUCUUAUUGUAUGAAUCCCUUGACCAUUUUUUACCAUAAUUUGGCUCUUUGGUGAAUUUGUUUUACCAAUCAACUUGAUUGUAAUCAACUACAAUUGGUGUGUUGCCAAUCACUAUGUUUUGUUGCCGCUGAUGGGUAAUUACGUUUUCUUUAUGUUUCACGAGUCCGUAAAAAUAACAAUAAAAAUUGUAUUGCCUUGCCUGUCUGUCCUGCGGCCAUAACAUUUUUUUUUAUAUUAAUUAAUCUGUUGAUAGGAAGUCAUCUAUUACCAUCAUCAUCAUCAUCAUCAUCAUCAUCAUUUGGGUUAUUAAGUGAUGGAGCAAAUAAUUAAUUUGAACAGAACGUUCUUUAUUAAUUUUUAUUUACUUGUGCAAUUACUGUGUUAAUAGAUUUACUUUAAAAAAGAGUGAGACUAUUUAGUAUUUACAGUCAUAAAAUUAUUCAGAAUACUCAUUUUCGAACUUAAAAAUUCUAGAGAACCAAUGCCUUAAAAAUAAACGACAAUGUGAUAUAGUAAUAUCAAAUUUUAGUUCGGGUAAAGAUAAUUUAUAUCCAUAAAAUUUCUCUCAGUAUUCAAUUUCUGAAAUGUCUUUUACUUCAAAAUUUAAAGAAUUUUAUAUUUACUUCUUACCCUCUCUAAAAUUUCAAAAAUAACUACCAAUUACGAUUACGAUUUUCUCUCCAAAUUGUGAGUCAAUUUAUACUCUCUUUCUGGUUCCUACCUAAUAAAUAAACUAUCUAGUGACAUCCAACACAUGAGAUAACAAAUAAAUUAAUUACAAUUUGAUCAACCAUUGUUUAGCCAACCAUCUCAAACCAGCUCGAUCGUCAGAAUCUCAGUCUUUUUGGAUACUUUUAAUUAAAAGCUGACUCCGAUUAAAGAAACUCAUGCAGGAACUCGCUCAGCUACUUGCUUAAUUUUGACUACACGCAAGGACAGGGGGAGAAAAAUCUAUCCUGAGUUGAUUGAAGAUUAAGAAAACUUCUUUUGCACAGGUACACAUUUAGGCUGAGUUCAGUUGAAUGCCAUUUCUAAUCCUCGCAUUAUUCUGUGCAUGUUGUUUAUGAAUAAAUUUCCUAAUAUGAUGUUCAGGUAAAAAGGUAAAUACGAUUUUUCCACUUCUGUUGAGCGGCAAGCACAAAUUGUCCUGUUACAAAAUGGAGACGCUCUCGGCUCACUCUUUUUCAUUCGGUUGAGAGUAGUGUUAUUGAUGAGAUUAUGUUGAUCGACUUAGGAGAACCUUGGCCAAAGUAAUUAACUGAUGGCUAAAUUUGAAUUGUUUUCUAUUACAUAAAAUAUUAUGCUUCGAAUAGUUUUUAUUUUGAUUAUAAACAAAGUGGUGAUGUGACAUCUCAAAAUGUCAUUUUAUAAACAAAUAAUAUUAUGAUAUUUCCUAAGAUGUAUGAGAGAUUUUCUUGAUUUAUAUCAUUUUCCCAUUUUUUCCUUAAAAAAAAAUUGUUGUCUUUCAAUUUUUUUUUUUUUUUGGCCGAACCUCGCCGGAAAUUCAUUGAAAGUGAACAAAGAAAUACACUGUAGGGUAAUUGAUACGCAUACAAUUAAGCUCAUCUGACAUGUAUGGGCAGAGAAUUGUGAAUGGGUAUGUACAUGUGGGCAGAGUUGAGGGGUACAGAACAGAAACCAUCACCAUGUAGUUCACAAAUCACAACAGAUACGAGAAUGGGCUUAUAUGAACAAAAUGAAAAUUUAUAUGCUUAAAUAUAGAAAUGAUAGAAAUUGAGUGACCUUCGUGAAAAUCCUUCCGUACACACGAACAGUCUAAAACCCUACAUUUUCUUGUCUCCGAACAAAAACCCUGAAACUUAUUUUGUCCUUCCAAUUCAAAAUGGUUUUCAGUUCAAUUCUUCGGAAAUCGGCCUCCUCUUUGGCCCCACUCGCUAUUCGACUUACCCGAGUUAACAGAAAUUACCACUCUGCCAUCUUCACCGCUUCAAAAACUCUCUAUCAGACGCCAAAUUUGGGCCCUUUUGCACCGAAUCUUUACUUCUCUACGGCUACUGAGACUGCGAAGCCGAGGUCUGAUGACUCACUUCUCCGAAUCAUUGACUCCGAAAUCAAGUGUGCCGUGGAAACUGAUGAUCAUGACCGGGUGAGGAAAUUUCCUUUGGUUGCCGAGAUAUUAGUGGAAACUGAAAAAAGAAAAUUAGAAUUUUGUUGAGGGUUUUGUUUCUUUUGAAUUUUAAUUGGUAAACAAACUUUUUUUUUUUUUCUGUUUGAUUGCUGAGAAAAUUCUUUUGAAUUUUAAUUGGUAAACAAACUUUGUUGAGGGUUUUGUUUCUUUUGAAUUUUAAUUGGUAAACAAACUUUUUUUUUUUUUCUGUUUGAUUGCUGAGAAAAUGAAUGAGAAUGAAAGAAAUUUGAGGUUUUUGUGGUGUUUUUGGAUUUAGAAAUUAAAAGAACUCGCAUGGCAUGUUUGGUUGGAGUUGAGUGAAUGUUUAUGUGUCACUUAGUUUCUUAGGUGUGAUACCCUAUUUUGAUUGCUGAGAAAAUGAAGGAAAAUUAGAAGCUAAUUAAGUUUUAGAUGGGUGGUGCUUUUUGCCCUGCCUGAAUAGUGAAUGAUAUUAUGUUAUUAUUAACAUUAACAUAAAGUUAUUAUGAAAAGUAAAACUAGUUGUAAAUAUUACAAGCUGAUGUUCUAUAUAACACAAUGUUGUAUUAGCAAGCUUUUUUCUCCUAGUUUAUAUCAUUUCCCAAAAUUCCUCUUUCGAUUAAAGUGAGCAGAUAGCUAUCUUUAGUUAUUAAAAGAAACUUGUGAUGUGAAUGGUUUUGUUUUUUUAAGAAUUAUACUAGUUUCGAAUAACAAUAGCUGUCGUGUGUUUGAGUUCUCUUGGUUUGCAGCGGCAAGCUUUUGUGCCGGUUCACAUGUUGACCACAUUGGUGCUAUAAGAAAGUUUUCAUCUCUACAAUUGCAGCCUACUUUGUUACUGUUCUUUUAAUUGUUAUACCUAUGUCUAUAUUAUGGUAUUUUUUCUUGUGUAGUAUGCUCUUACUUUGUUUUUGAUGAAUAGGUUGAAGAGACUCCUGGUGGCUUUCCUUUCAAAAUUGAAGACAAUCCUGGACUGCAGACCAUAACACUGACUAGAGAAUAUGAGGGUGAACUUGUUAAAGUGGAGGUUCAGAUGCCUGAUCUUGUUAGUGGUGAACAACCCGAGGCUGUUGAUGACGACAAUGAUAUGGAAACGCCUAAUCAAUCUAGCAUCCCGCUGGUUGUUACUGUCUCUAAGAGUAGUGGAACCUCACUCGAGUUUAAUUGUGUUGCUUAUCACGACGAGAUUUCAAUUGAUAGCUUGGCUGUUAGAAAGACAGAAAAUUUGGAGGAUGAAGCUGGCUAUGAGGGGCCUGACUUCCAGUAAGUUUUGCAUAAAUUUUUCAUCAAUGAUUUAUAAUCUUUUACUUAUAGAUAUGAUAUGAGUUUUCUCCUCUUGGUUUUUUGAAGUGAUUUGGAUGAGAACCUGAAGAAAGCUUUCCACAAGUACUUGGAGAUUCGAGGAAUAAAGCCUAGCACAACAAAUUUCUUGUUUGAGUACAUGCUGAACAAAGACAGUCGUGAAUAUCUGAUUUGGUUGAAGAAACUCAAGGACUUCGUUGAGGCUUAGCUUUCUGCAUAUGGAGUAGCUUUAGUUUUUUGGUUAUGUAAGUACUGUUAAUGCAUUCAUUCAGUCACUGCCUUUUAUGAGUAAAGCAUAACUAUACCUAUUAAAUGCACCGAUUCUAGUUUGAGGAACUUAUUAAAUCUUGUGAUUUAAACGGUAUCUACUUGUCGUGAAGUAUGCUUAGAUUAAUAUUGGCGGGUUUUGAGGUCUCAAUAAAAUCUUUUUAAUUGCAGUGUUCAACAAUCAAGGUUGAAAAAUACGAUACUCCUGAACUGCAUUCUUUGAAUAAUGAGUUUUCUAACUCUUGCAAUUACUGACAAGAUACUAUCAGAAUGCACUUGCAUCAGUAACGAGAAUUAUCUAAGUGAACGAACGCUAUGUUCCAGAAAGGAUCUGUAGUGUAUACUGCUAUUGCUAAAUUAAUCUCAGCAAGCUGGAAAUGGAUACAAUUUGCUUAUUUCAAGAGGGCAGUAAUUCGCUUGCUACAGUCUCGGAAAUCAAAGAGAUUUCGCACUGCCGAUAUAACUAUGCCUUAAGAGGGGGGAAAAAAAAUUUGCAGCAAAAGCCCAUAAAAAUCGCUUCUUUUCUGCAUAUUGUAGAACUUUUUGGUACAUAUACUCAGGACUCAAUAUUUACAUCCUCGUGGAUGUAUUCGACCCCCUUAUCCCCAUCCACCACUUGCCCGCUUCCUUUGAGAAUCCUGCAUAUUUUGCAGAGCAACAAUAACUUGAAAUCAGACCAGUUUGAUCAUGUGAUAAUAAAAAAUAGAGGCUCAUGCUGCAAUAAGUGAGAAAGCUAAUCGUCAACAAACAGCAUAUGGGAAAGUAAAAAAUAAUUAUGUUACACUUUUUUUUUUUCAGCGAAUACUAUAUUUGAAAAUCAGCUAAUGUAAUCAUGGUGUAACUAGAUGAAUGUUCUAAUGAUUGCCCCCAAAGGCAUGGCCGAGUGGCUUUCAACAGCAUUAUUUGGUUGAACACUAAAGUUUGAAUUCUAGGAGAGGUAGGGGCUUAAAAACCCACUCCCUACUUUUAAUUAAAAAAGAAAAUAAAUAAAUGGUGUAAUGUAAUGUGUGGAAGAAAAGAGAAAAAAGGUGCAACUAUAUGAAUAACUCCAUUAACAUCGUAAGAAAAUUCAUACCAUCUUGUAGUUAACAAUCCUUCAACUCCAACUGGACCCCGAGCAUGAAUUCUGCUCGUGCUUAUGCCAACCUAACCAGAUACCAAAGAGAAUCAGCCAUGUAAGCUAGGUUCUUUAACAUAUUAAUGAAAAUCAUCAAAUAAUUGGCAAGUGAUAAUAUACCUCAGCACCUAGUCCAAAUCGAGCUCCAUCACAAAAUCUUGUGCUUGCAUUGUGAAAUACAGCCGCACUGCCAAUGUAAGAACCAACUCAAAUUAGAUGGUUACAAAGUUUAAUGAUACAUUUUGGAUAGUGAAUAAGGGCAAAUAAUUUACAAAGAACAAAACAGUAAUUCAAAAUUUUUAAUCCUAUUGUUCCCUGACGUGAGCGAACCAAACCUCCAAGGGAACCGUGUUAAUUAACACAAAGUCUAAGGGCCUGCUUGUAGUUGUUUGUUCUUUUUUCUUAGGUUAGUGAUUCCGUUUCAAAAUUUAAACAGCUGUGGAUUAAAAAGCCAAAGCACCUCAAUACCAAAUGAGCCCCAAACAAUCGAAGCAUUCUACCUGUCCACUUGGCGUAGAAAAAUUUCUGCAGCUUCACUGUCAUUUGUAAUGAUGCAAUCAGUGUGCCCGCUGCAGAAGGGAACAAAAAAGAUGUAAGACUGUGUAGGAGAUGUGAGCAUAAAUAUGAUCUAAAAAGAACUGCAACAUGCCUUCCAUGUUGAUGUAUAUGACCAAUGGCUGCAUGUACAUCAUCCACAAUUUCAAUAGUGCAUGCCAUUGAGUUGUACUCGUGAUGAAAUGAAUUUGGCUCAGGAAUAUUCAGCAAGGAGCUUGCCCUUGGUCCACCAUACAAAGUGACACCUUCAAAAGAAGUGAACCAGUUACCUUUCAUGAAUAUCCUUCUGAUUGUAGACUCUGAAACGAAGUUUUUCUUAAAAGUUCCGAAAAAAAUUUGAUUUAUGCUAAUAUAGCAAAAAUUUUCAUGCAAAAAAUUGGAUAAUAGACGAUUAACAAGGCUAUUUUGACAUACAAUAAAAUGGUAAUGGAGCAAACAACUAAUUAAUCUAUUCAAAACUUUGCAGAUCUUUGAGAGACUCGGUACACCUAGAAGGGCAAGGUGAGGAGUGACAAUUUCUUUUGCAAGGAAAAAGCCUUACCUUCGGAUCGAAGAUUAUCAAUAAGCUCAUUGAAGCCAGUAGGCACCAAAUCCUGGUGUAUAAGAAGUGUUUCCUGACAACAUCCAAGAGAGCAACACUCAGAGAAAACACCUAGUAUUAGGAACAAAAAGCAUUGACUCCUGAAAAUCUAAACUUGCAAUUAUAUUAAGGAACUUUACCAAAAAUAUUAUCAACAAAUAUAUGAAACAAAUUACCAUUGCGUUACAGGCUGCAGGGUAAUCUACUUUUGCAUCCAAGACGAUUUGCUUUGCCAUAUCCAUAUCAGCAGACUUAUCAACAUAUAUAUGGCAAAUUCCAUCUGAGUAUAAAAAUGCAUCUUUUUUACAACAUCCAACAUAUUAUUCCCGCAUAAAGUAUUACUAAACUAGAGCAAGCUUAUACAGAAUAAUAAGAUUCCAUCCGUAUUUUAUCUCACCAGCAUGGCCCAGAACAGGAAUUUUGGUCGAUUCCUUGAUUUGAGAAACAAGUCUGUUGCUUCCUCUUGGUAUUACAAGAUCUAUAACAUCAUCAAGCUGGCACAAAAAUGCAAAAGCUCAGUUUUAUUUAUCAUUCUCAAAGUUAAAAUGCUUUAACAUCAGUCAUCAAUGCAAAUCUAUACCUUAAGCAGAUCUGGGAUCUCCUCUCUUGAAGUCACUAGUCCAAUAAGUCUUUCACCAACAUUUUCCGGGAUGACUUCAGUAAUUAUCUAUAAAUAUAACAAGGACUCAGAAACUUUAGGAACAGAUUCAUUCAAUAUAUUGCUAGGCGAUCAUUUAACUUUGAGAAAUGAAACCUUGUGCAGAAUUGCAUUUGAUCUUUUAGCCUCCUUCCCCCCUUUCAAUAAAAGCCCAUUCCCACUUCGGAUUGCCAAUGCAGCUAUCUAUACAGCAAGAAAAAAGGAAUCCCAUGAGCAAUAAGGCAGCAUACAUAAAGCAGAUACAAAUACAUCAAGGAGGUCCAUAUAUCCAACUGAACUGAGCAAAGUCAUAAUCCCAUCAAAACUUGUUCAUAUGAAUUCAUUGAUUACUUGGCAACUUUACAAAAAGAAAAAAUUCAAAAAUGAAUAAUAUAGAACGUACUUAUAUUGCAAAAUAUAUAUCUUGAAGUCUAAUUAAUAUAGCACAAUUUUUUUAAACAUGCAGAGGACUUGGCAUUUAUUUUCCAAUUAUACCCAUGAUGGAAAGACAAGUAAAGGAGUAUGUAUAGAAGUAAUAAAUCAGCUAAAAAAAUCUUUGUGCAAUAAACGAUAUUAAGUGAAAAACAAUGUUCGUGAAGAUGAUUUUAUAUGUCAUUAAAGAGAGUAACAGCCAACAAAGAGACGACGAAUUAUCUUCUGGUCACCACCUUAAACAUAUAAUAAUUCUGAUCAUUUUUACCUGCACUAGUGCAUCAGGUCGAGACUCAAAAACAAUCAAGAGAACACCCAAGGGACAUGAAGUUUUCUCUAAGAAGAGUCCAUCUGCAAGCUGAUGGCAAAAAAUAAUCAGAUACGUGUCAGAUCAAUGUUCAAGAGAUGGGAUUAUGAUAGUCUGGAAGAUCUCCGUAGGAGUUGUAAUAACCACUGUACUUCACAUCCAAGAAAUAAUUUCAGGGACAGACUGUAGACUAUCUGUCUCUCACAAGCUUUCUAUGAAACUGAAGUAAGCUGGCUGCUUACUAGGCGCUGAAGUCAAGAUUGGCACUAAUAUUGUGUAUCUAUUCUAAAUUCCGAGUCUGUCCAUCUCUUGGUAUCCCAUCACAAGACUAAAGCCCUGGAUUUAGUAUACUUACAAAUAUAUUGCUUACCUGGGUUUUCUUCAGAAUAUGACCAAUGGGGUCUUCCAUGUUUGCGAGCACACGAACUGAGUUCGCGAGACUUGAAAUCUGUCAGGUACAGUAAACUUCAAUCAAAACAGAAUUUGUGCCAUUUUGAGAAGAAAAUAGAAAUUAGUAUACUAUAACCUAAUUAGUUACAAAUGAAAUGGAGCUUAGCAACAAGAACUAGAAACAGCCAAUGUAUCAGCAAUGUCUUGCCUUCCCAGAUUUCAAAGCCAGCCGUGAUAGCAAGGGUUUCUCAUAUCCCUCCUGUUCUGCAGCUGCUACAUCAGCUUCAUUUUCUUCAAUGAUCAAUUCUUCGUUAGCUUCUAAGGCAUCAGCUAUGUCUAACAAUAUCUUUUUCCUAUCUUCAGAUGACAUGGCCUAUCAAAGAAGAUAUCACUUAGUUACUCUUGUUUCCAAGUUAACAUGGAAGAAAUUGCAUCUCCAAUUGCAAUUUUCCCAUUCAACAUAAACUUACUAAACUUUGAAUUUGUGAUGCACUUCAAUGUUACCUGAAGUCGUCUGGAACUCUCCCUCGCUGCCACUGCCAUUUCACGUGCACCAACUACAUUGAACGGGUCCAAAAUAUGUGCAUCUUGAUGAAAAAGGGUACCGAUACGCUCUCCUUGCAGAACUUUCAGUAUAUUUUCAUCGGAAUACCCACUUCAAAAGCAAAAGAAAGAAAUUAUUCCGCUUGUAGUAUUUCAUAUUUAAGUGAAACCUACACACUGAAUUCAGAUGAUAAAACAUUUUCAUAUGAAAACGGCCAUCUUCAUUGUCCUAUGUUGGAAUAAACUAUAAUAUAAGAGAAAACCAUACCUUGUGAUAACCACAGGGAUGCCAGCAUACGCUGCAUUGACUGCAGCUUUAACUUUGGCAGUCAUGCCCCCUCUUCCAACCCUAGACUUGUCUCCAAAAGUUAUUUCACCUUGAUGCCUUUCCUUAACAUAUGUAUCAAUUAGCUUUGACUGUGGGUCACUUGGAGGGCCGCUAUAAAGACCUUCUACAUCACUCAAUAGAAUGAGAAGAUCAGCUUUUAACUCCAAAGCCAGAAGGGCUGCUAAGCUAUCAUUAUCCCAAAAUAUACCGGAAGAAUCCUGCAAAGAGUGAAACGUUACCAGAACUGUGUUUUAGUACAUGUAUUAAUUAUGGACACAAACUUAGUAACGGUGGAACUAUUGCAACCAUUUUCCAGGUUCUUUUUUCCAUAAUGGCUGUAGGAUUAUUGAGUUCUCAACCAGAGAGCUCUGCUUCCUGAUUGUUACUAACAGGAAAUAUCAUAAUUAAUUUUAAUACAAUAUAACAUAGCCAAAAGAAUAAAUAAAUUAAGCAGGGCAAACCCAGGUAAUCAUAGAAAAGGUUCCCACAAUGAAAAGUGACUAGGAUGUGAAAGAUACCUCAUAUGGAGCUUUCCUGGUACUCACAGCAUCAUUUUCAUUAAAAACGGGAAUCACCCUCAGAGAUAACAACGAUUUAACUGUUUCACUAAGCUGACUUCUAAAUUCUUUGUCUCUAAAAUCAUUAUCUGUUACUAGGAGCUGUGCUGAUGUAAGAUCUAGCUGCAGUAUUGAAGAAAAAAAAACAUUAUUAAAUCAAAAAUCAAGGACCAUAUUGGGUUGCAACAAUUUUUUUUUUUUUUUUAAUUUUACGGAAACAAAAAAAAAAAGGUCUCCAAACCCUUACGUGAGCUGGCUCCAAAAAUGCUGCCAAAAGUUAAGGGAAAAAAAAUUAAUUACCUCACUAAACAGCGUAUCAUAGAGAGCCAUGAUAGAAUUUUGGCCGACAGCCGCGCACGCCUUCCCAUCAAGUUCAAUUUGUGGUUUUUGGAGAUCAGCAAAGCUGUAAGAUAUGAACAACUAAUGAAUACAUAAACCAUUUAACUUAAUAAUGGAAGCUUUAAGUUAGGAACUCUCUUUAACAUAAUUUUACAUAUGAAGACAGAUAGAAAUGUUUAAAAAUAUCUGCAAAGUCCAGCAGCAAUCCCCACAAUACAAAUCGGCAUGCGCACCGAUUUUUCAGGUCACUAAAUUCAUAAUGUGCGUGAAGAAUCAAACAACAUCCAAACAGCCUCUUAACUCGUAUAUCUCCUCCAUGUUAAAAAAAGAACCCUGGAAAGGUAAAGAAGGAUAAAAAGAAAGACCUGCUGUUAAUUAAUCUCCUGUAUCUAAGCCUUUGGCGACCGAGGCCGACGGCACCUGACGAUACCAAAAUAACCUCAUAUCCUUGUGAAUUCAAUUCUUUAAUCUGCAACGACAUUUAGAACUCUAAAAUCAAUAGGAACCACACAAGCUAUAUAAACAAGGAACACAAAAAUUUUACGAGGAGCUUGCAGUCCUAUAAAUCUACAAAUGACAGGAUAAACAUGCCUGCUCACAAAGAGCUCCUAGUCUUCCAAGUGCUAGUCUUCCAUCACUUCGGGUAACAACAGCCGUUCCAACCUUCAAUUGUAAAUGCAGAAUUAGUUAACACGUGAAACAGAAAAGAGAAAAGAAAAAGAAAAAAACUUACGCGAAAACAAAAUAUGAACACAUAAAUGUAAUGAAAAUGACAGGAAAGCACCCUCUUUUAUAACAAAUGGUAGCAAUUCCUAGGACCCAAAAACAGAUUAAAAACUAGAUAUCAAUAUUACAUUCCAAAGAAAAGAUUUUGAAUACAUCAUGCAGACGCUCUAAACAAAACCCCAUCUUCCAUCAUGCCAUCAACCAAACAUGCAUGCCAUUGUGUUCCCCCUAUCCCCACUAUUUUUUAAAAAUAUAUAUAUAUAUAAAAGAGUCCAUAAACUGCAUGGAGACCAAUGAAACUAAAAAAAAAAAAAAAAAAGGAGGGUGAUGAAUGCAGUGAAAAGACAAAAUGGAAAAGAAAAGUGACGAUAUGAACGAACCUUAACAACAAUACGCUUGACAUCUUUGACAAAAGCUCGAGAGGAAUCCAUGGUACUGGCCAUGCUCGUAUCUCGCUCAGUCCCAGGACAACACGAUACCGCAUACACAACCCCCAGCCGGGUUGUUUAAAAGAUUUUAUUUAUUAACCUAUUUUUAAAUUUUUACCAAAUAAAUGCUACUCAACUCAACCAACCUGAGGCCGAGAAUAUGUAUCAUCAUAUAAAACAAAGAGACAAAAACGUAAAGACAUCAACCUGUUGGGUGAUGCUUUUUAAGAAUUUAUUCUAUUUGCGCAGCUUAAGCGAAUAAUGAAAUGCCACGUAAAUGGGGGAAAAACAGGGAGAUAUAAAAGGCGUGGCGAGCGAUUAUUGAUGGAAGAGAAUAAACCGGAGGAUUGGGGAACCUGAUUGAAGGAUGGAGGGAGUUUGUAUCGCAUUUCAAAACCAUACGCGGCGCAUGCAGAUGAAGUUUUGGGGCUACACGACAAAAUGAGUUAACAAGUAAAAGCAUGUUUUUUUUUUUCUGAAUAAAAGUUUCAAUUAAUUAAUUAUCUCAAAAGUCGAAGUUGAGAUCCGUGUCGUGCGGCUGGUCAGAGGUCGUAGACAUUUGUUAUAAUAUAAUAUAAUAUAUUAUUAUAGCUGAAGAUUCAUAAUUUUGCGGAGGGAGCAUGGCGUGUAAGGACUUAAUUUAUUUGUUAUUAUUAUCAUUAUUAUUAGGGAUUAUUUUGGGGUUUCCUUCCCUUCAAUGACCUUCAUGCAUGUGACUCGAGCUUGAUUGAAUAUAUAUCCUUCCUCUGCACAAGUUGAUUCUGUUUCUCUAAUAUUUAGAAAGAAAUAGAUGCAGACUGUUUUUACGAUGGCUCAGUUAAGUUCCUUCUUUAGCUAUGAAAAAUUUCAAAUAAAUUAAUUCAUCUUACUGGAGCAAUUAAGGCUGCCAAUUCAAAGUUGUUGGCUUUAAACAUUGAAUUAGAUGUUUAAGGAAUCUCUCGCCAGUCGCCAUGAUUGAAUACAAGGGGCCAAUUACAACAUCGAGGCGGUAUUAAUUCACACCUAUAAAUAUAUUCAUCUCGGUAAACUUUCACCAAUAUGCUCAGUAUUCCUUAAAUUAUUCAACAUAUUACUCGCUUGUCCUGAAAAUCUAGAUUUCAUGAACCUCAUUUCUGAAUCAUUUAGGUUCCUAACUCACAAAAGAAAUUAUUAUAAUAAAAACAAAAACAAACACACCAAAAUAAUAAUAAUAAUAAUAAUAAUAACUAAAAGGCCAAUAUAUUUACACGACCAAAAUUUAAGGGAAGCAAUUCCAAGAUCUAAUACAGCUUGUCUAUCCUUUUCCUGAUGUUGGUCUUUAAAAAAGCUUUAAAAAAUCAUGAGCACUUCCCCCAAAAGUUUGUCUUUUCACUUCCAUUCCAUGUAUUAAACUCAUCACAACCAAUUGACUGAUCUCAAAGCAGAUAGAAACCUCUACUUCCAAAUACAUGCAAACAUAUGCAGCUAUCAUAUUGUUGUUAUAUUCCCCCUGAACCAACUAAACAGAUUCAGGUUAUGGAAAGAACCAGACCUUGAUGAAGAUUGCUAGAGCCAUUUGCAAACAGAAUGAAGCAACCACCAGCACCGUAAGAUCAUUCCCCUCCAUGUAAGAUUUGAGGUUGAAGGCAACGAAGCAAGAUGAGGUGGUGCCAGCAAGAAGUAUGAUGAUCCACCGGAGAAGCUCAAUAGGAAUAAGCAACAGAAACUGAAAAUUGCACGGCGUAUGUUAGAUGAUUGUCAGAGUAAUAGAAGAUGCAAAAAACAAACUGAUUCUCAGAUGUCUCAAGACAAUAAAAAGGGACUGUUGACCAUUUUUCGACAAUAUAAAGGUUCGGCAAUAUUUAAUUUAUUCUUUUAAAGGUUAUCGCUUGUUCACACUAUCACCAAGAACUAUAAUGUUCACAUAAUCUAGCAUCAGUAGAUAUGCUUAAGCCGAAAAAGCUUGAAACGGUGAGGAUUUUUUUUUUUUUCUUUUUGACAAGAAACCUUUUCAGCAAAAAAGACAAAAGCUCACCGAGGUGACAACAAAGAUGAAGAGAGAAUAUCCCCAGAGGCACCAAAACCGAACAAGGCUAGCACUUGAUCCCAUGUACUGAAGCAAAAAGUAAUAUGCCAAUGGCACCACUAUUGCAUAACCGUAGACUGUACAUGCUGCCACAUUUACAAAGCUGACAUCAAAGCUCCAAGAAGCACUGCUGUUAGUAUAUUUUUGCAUGAGGUACGUGGCACAGUUUCCAAAUGAAGCAAGCAUAAAUACCAAUGUAGUGGAGAUCCAGAUAAGCCCAUAUCUAACAUGUCAAAGAAAAAUCAUAACUAAUGAGCCCGCAAAAUAAAAUGAAAGGCAAUUUAUACAGUAACUAUUAGAUCGCAAACAAGCCAAACACCCAAAAAAAAAUAUAAACCCAUAGUUAUGUAGCUACAUCCGUUGUUCCAAUUACAAAAAUUGUAUAGAUCUGGAUUUGUCUAUAUGUAGAUGACUUGUAUGGCUAUUACAAAACACAACAUUUUAUGAUUUACAACUUCUUAGCAAAAUCUAUUUUUGUAUCUAUACAAAAAGAAAUAGACCUGUCUAUCUGUUUCACUAUAAUGGCAACAAGAGGAAGUGAAAAUCAAAACUCACAGAUCGGGAUUAGCAUCAAUCUUGCUGAAAAAAUCUCCAGAAAGGGGAUGCAAUGAACUAAACAAUCUGUUUAUGACAAUGUCCGUAUCCACAUUGAAAUACUGUGUGUAGGAUGAGAUGCUAAAAAACCCCUUCCAAUUGUUUGCUGGUUGUUGUUCAAAUCCUUCUGCACGGAGGCAAAGUCAGACAUAUUGUUAAAGGUUAACAUAAUGGCAGUAUCUGUUCGCAAGAACAAAUCCAUGGCAAUACAUAUCAUCACUAAUUUGCCCCUGACUAUACUUUCAGUAACUCCUAAUUGAAAAUUAUACAUUUGUGAGACUCAAUUCUAAAAGUAAGAGAGCCCCAUUGCCACCAUCUUCUCAUCCCCUCCCUGGCCCAACAUAGAAGAUAAAGCACUACUGAACAGACCUCCCAUGUUCCUAUUCAUUCAGCCAAAAGCUAAAGAGCUUAGCUAGCCACGACUGCCACAAGAUAUAAUAUUUUUCAAUUAUUUUAUUUUUAUUUACAAGAAGUUAAUAUGAAAUUGCAUGUUCACGUGGCAUUUUUUAUAUGCAGCUAAAUGCCUACUAAAACAAAGACUAGUUGAAAAGUAGCGCAUAUUUCAAGGAAAAAUUUCAAAUCAGACGAAAUCCAUUGCCAUUCAAAACAAGCAAAAGAAGGUUUUACCAGUCUGUUGCUAGUUUCCUUCUCACUACGUUACAAAAAUAUAAACUUUUGACACCAGUCGGCCAUAUUCCUACGUUUGGUAUUAAGCCCCAAGCAACUUCAGAUCUAAUAACUGAGACUUAUUAGUAAAUGUCAUCUUGUGUUUCUGAAUCAUUUCAUCUUGUGUUUCUAGUCUUUACCACCUAUCUGUUGUCGCUGUAUGAAUAGGGAAACAUAUUUUAACCAAAAGCAACAAGAAAGGUUCUAAUAAUUCACAUGACUAAAGUUAGCCAUGUUUUCUCAUAAAAGCACAAACACAUUAAAAUCAACAAGAAAUGAGCAUACCACUUGAACUCCCAAGAGAUUGAUAACCCGGCCUGCUGGCUCCUCCAUUACCUGGGGGAAAUGUUUGCAUAGUAGCUUCCGGAGCUGCAAAAGAGUAGCAAUAUUGUUCACUUAAUUCAUAAAACUCCGCAUCAAACAAUAAAGCACUUCAAUCACAACAAAAGAAUUUUUUAUAGAACACCCCCAUUACCUUCAUAGCUUGUGGCGUGCUUUUCUUCACUCACAACGGCCUAUAUACAGGAGAAGAAGGAAAAAAAAAAAAAAAAACUCUUUUUAUACUUUCUGAUAAGCGACAGUAAUUAGUAAUUAACACACAUCAUUUACGAAAAGUAAGUCAUUAAUAUAACACCUUCCAAAAAUAUCUCGCAGCUUUUGCUAAACGAACUAAUUACUCAAAAUAAAAUUAAACAUUCAGAAAUUUAUUUAAUUUCAAAUAAAAAAUGAAGGAAAUGAAAUGAAAUUGGAUCAGACUUACGGGGACUGAACCGAGCAAAUGGCUUGAGGGGAGGUUAUUGUAAGACUCGUCCAUGAUAAGAAUUCAGAUCGAUCGACAAAAAAGAAAACUCCGCUGCUGAUUAGAGAAGCAUUGUUUUCUGGAUUUUGAGAAAGAAAAUGGAUCAAGAUUUGAUUUUGAGAUUUAAAAAAAAAAGAAAAAGAAAGAAAGAAAAUUGCCAGUUAAAAAGCGAGCCCUAAAUGUUGCCUUUUUCUUUCUCAGAGUGGUUAACGAAACGAAACAAGACUUAAGACUGGUCUCCCGACCGACCGGUACUGCCACGCGUUGGUUUGUUACUUUACAGUUAGUGUGGCGUAUAAAAAUAAUAAAUUUGAUGUCUGAGCCCGGGUUCGAACCGGGGACCUCUAGUGUGUGAGACUAGCGUGAUAACCAACUACACCACCCAGACGCUUCGAUCAUGUUUUCGAUUGAGUAAUUAUUUAUCCAAAACGAUCUAAUCUUCAUGAAGUCAAAAAUAAACUCCGUUUAAAUAUUACUAAAAUUGAACGAGUAUAACGUAAAUUUUGAGACAGUUUUGUGUGUACAUUUGGACCAUUGCCAAUGCAAAUCUCUCCCUCCAUUCUCCAAUAAUAAAGAGGUGCUUCAAAGCUCUAACUAGACUUGACUUUCCUUCUUCACCCUGUCCAUAGUUGAAGCUUAGAAAAUGUUUCUCACCAACAUCCCUCUCUUCAUCUCCCUCUUCCUCUCAUUUUCUCUCCCUCUGUACUCCACUCCUUACCUCUCACCUACCACGCUUUUCCCGAAUUACCAAAAAAUGCUCCAAUCUUUCAAAGUUUUCCCUUACACCGCUCCCCUAGUUUUCUCCACCCCAUCUGAUUCGGAGCCCCUCUUCGUUUCUUCUCUCCUCAACAGCUCUUUUCUCACUCUAGACCCAGAGCAAGCCGACCUCUUUUUCAUCCCCUUCUCCUCUAUAAACGUCUCCGCGCGCUCCCUCUCGCGUCUUGUCAAUGCCCUCCGAUACGACUUCCCGUUUUGGAACCGCACUCUUGGCGCCGAUCAUUUUUACGUCUCCUGCGAAGGUCUUAGCUUCGGUUCUGACAGAAAUGUACUUGAGCUGAAGAAAAACUCUGUUCAGAUCUCCUGUUUUCCGACAGCUCCAGAUAAAUUUGUCCCCCAUAAGGACAUCACUUUGCCUCCUUCCCUUGCGGGUCCCUACUCGCCGAUGGAAAAGGCCAAAAAUCAUCUGCACCUGGGUUAUGUUAGAUACGGUGCCAUCAAAGAGCAUAGUUUGAUCAAAGAAUUGAGAGCUGAUUCCGAGUUUUUGGUGGAUUCUGAGCCGCUGGAUCAAUUGGGUUUUCAGGAGAGAAUCCGAAUUAGCAAGUUUUGUUUGUUCGAGUACGGUAAAGGGGAUGUCUCGGGGAUUAACGAUGCUUUGCGUCAUGGUUGCGUACCUGUGGUGAUUACUGACCGUCCGAUCCAGGACCUGCCGUUGAUGGACGUGCUGAGGUGGCAGGAGAUGGCGGUGUUUGUGGGAUGGAAUAAAGGCCGGGCCGGGGUUAAGGUGGAGGAGUUGAAGCGCGUGUUGUAUCGCACGUGUGGUGGGGAUGACAGGUACGGGGAGGUGAGGGGAUUGGGUGUAACGGCGGGUAAGCACUUUGUGUGGAAUGAGCAACCACAGCCGUACGAUGCGUUUCAUAUGUUGAUGUAUCAGCUGUGGUUGAGACGACACACGAUUAGAUACGCCCGCAGAGAAGUGGCAUAAGUUUGUCUUUUGCAUGUGUACUAAUAAUACUAUGAACCAUCGAAUUGUAAUCUCUCCAAUAACUUGCAACUCCUUGAACCAACAGCAGUAUCAAUUACAAAAUCUUUUUUUCUCAAGUGAACAACUUUCAAGUGUCGGUAAAAAUUUUGUCAUCUUCUAAUGAAGUACAGGCCCUACGAAGCUGUAAAUCUUUCGGAGAAAUUGUAUGCUGCCGUCGGGUUAAAAUUAAUUGAAUACGUUUUCUUGACCAACGAAUGUGUUUGUCAUUUGCCCCAUGUUGCUGACAUGAAUUGCAUCAAGAUGAUCUGAAGAGAAACUUGCCGUCAAUGAACAUGGAAUUUUGUCACUCCCCCUCACUUCUUCACUAUUUUCAGCACAUCACCAAUGAGAUGGAGCGAACCAGUUACAAGGACCUGAUAAUUGAAGAGAAAAUUUUGAUUGAUAAUAAUGUAAAUCCAAUACAGAGACCUUACAUGACGACAACGGUUACCUGAAAACGAAGAGACUGAUUCUGUUGGACACUGUCCCUGAGCCAUUUAAUAGCCAGUGGCAGAGAAGAAAAGACUGCACUGUUUUCACAGCUCCUAGCACUCAAUUCUGUGUCGUCUUUUACAUCUUCAGAUGCAUUAUCUGUAUUCUUGGCCUCCCCUGCUAGUGAGUUCAAAAAAUAACAUUUUCAUAGAUAAAACAAAAACAGCUGGCUUUAGAUAAACUACUUAUUUCUAUUAAGGAAAAUCGCGAGAUAUUUCACCAGUUCAGGCUGAUGCAAUAUGAUUAUCACAACGAUGGGUACCGCACAUAUAAUUGAUACCUUUAUCACCCAGCAUGAGGUUUUCCCACACUCUUUGAAGAGCAAACUGCCAGGACAGAUCGAUUUGAGUCUCAGUUGGCGGUAAAGCAUGGGAUCCAACCUUAUUGUACACUGAUGCAUUUGGCACAAACAGAGCCUUCUUGAAGUAAACACCUACAGUUACAAUGAGAUGUUUAAGCUACACCAACGUGAUAAAUACCAUCAAAAUAAAAAUCAAAUAUCUUCUUUUCUUUUCUGUAAAAUACAGUAAUAAACUACCAAGUACUUCAACCAUAUAUGAGUCCUACAUGUUCUAAAAAAACGUAGGAGAAUAACUCUAAAAGAUGACUUGCACUCACCAUGUCUGGCACAAGUUUUCAUCAGGCUAGGAAGAAGCAACUGAGGAUCUCGCACCGACAUACAAUUGAACAACAGAAUCUGCAAGGAUUUUUCAACAAGUUUAGUUCACCAUCAACACAAAUGUGACCCAGUGCAGCGGAAUAUUCUCUGAGUACACAAUAAAUAUCACAAUCUAAAAUUCAGGAUGCUCCCACAAAAUCACAUGCAAAUAUAUGAAGACACUAUCAAAAGCUGUUUUUAUAGAUGUGUCAACUGAAAGUAAUGCAAACUUUUGGUCUGAAAAUAGAGGAAAGCCAAAUUCAGUGAAAAUCUCAUAUAUAGAGGUGAGAAUGAAGUCCAUCUCAGCUAUUUUUUAUUGGUAAAUAUUGUGUUUAUCACAUAAUCAAGUGGCUCUCUUCAUUUAAAGCAUAUGAUCUGCAGUCACUGGAAAAGGCAUGUGACCUGAAGCACCUAUAUUCUCUACUUUAAAGAAUUUGCGUAACUAAAUUACGAGUUCUCCUGUGGUUUUGGAGUAUAGAAAUCAAUCAGAGUGGAUUUACCAAUUAAAGCAUAUAUACUCUUGAAGCAUGACGCCACUUUCUCUACCUGUGCAGAGUUCUUUCUAAUUUUUCCAUCAUGCUGUCUCUGUGGCAAUCCAUUGGAAGAUCCAGAACUAUUUGGUGGUUGAAAAUCAAAGGUUUCUUGCUGAUUUUCCUCCUUAAUUGCCAGAGAAAACCAUCUUGCACAUAUUUCCAUGCUUUCAGGACUAUGUGCUCCAUCCAAAUAGAACACCAGAUCUCCAGAUGUUUCAGAGUUUGUAUAUCGAUCAGGAACAAUCUGAGCCCGUCCUUGCAGGUUGGCCAUUGUUAGACCUUGGAUGAACUGCUCAGGAAGCGGACUCUGCGCCAUGCAGAUAAAUACAACAUAAGGUGAAAGAGGAAACCAAUAUAACAAGAGAACAUAUGCCUGAGUCACAAAGUAGAAGAAAAAAUGCCAAACUCAUAUGAAAAGAACAUACUGUUGUAUCCAGGUAGUUAAUUCCGAGUUGACUGGUCCUCUGAAGCCAAGUAGAACUUAGAGCAACAGCAAGACCAGCAUUCAUAUAUUGAUGUUCACCUUCAAGCCCAAGCUUCAAACCAUUCAGCAAACUUGCAUCCAACGGUGGUACUACUUGAAGAGGUACCUGUCAUCAGUAUGAUUUUCUCAGUGCUCAGUGAAGGCAACCUUAUCAUUCUUUUCUAAAAUGCAGCAUAACCUGAUUAUAUCAGAAAAAUCAGAAGUAUCAAGUUUUUACAUGAUACAAUGUCAGUGUUCACUAAUUUUAGAGCCUUCAACAAUUAGAGGCCCCAACUUAAAUUAAGAUCAGACAACUGGAUAAGAUACUCUUAGAACUACCUUGGUGGAGCAGAUGAAAGAGACAUAAUUUGUAAAACAAAAUGCCUCAAAACCAUAUAUACCAGGUUGUAUACGACUUGCCAAUUCUUCAAAAUCCUAAGCGUAUCAACCCUCAAAAUCAUAAUAUCAAGUAAGAAUGCAGUUGGACUUGCGAUUUAAACCACCGGGAAGCCUGAUGAGGUCUAAGAAAAUGCUAACACUAAAUCAGUAUUGUAAACCCAGAUUCACAUUUUAUGUACCAGAACACAAACUGAUUUUUGAUUGAUAUCUCAGUUUUAGCUUAGCAUGAUCAUCAAAUUGACUUACACAAGUCAAUCUUACUAACUGUCAGCUAAGUUUUGAGUCAUGCAUUUUCCAUUUGUGCACGAAAACAAACUCAUUCAUGAAAGAAAAUGCAACCUACAUCCAACUUGGAAGCAUUCUCUUCAAGUACACGCAUUGCCUCUUCAGGCUGAGGUACAGUAAAAGCAGGAACUCCAUACUGCAUCAGGAAACAGAAAGGGAAUGAAGAAAAGUAUUAAAAGAAACUCCCAACUCUGUUGCCUGGAAAAAGCAUAUACUACUCGCAUAGAUUUUUCUGAGUAAAUGGUAAUCUGUAUAAACCUUAAAGAUACCAGCCUUCUCCCCAGCAAUUUCUCCAAGUGUAUUUCCUGUUUUUAGCAGCCAACAAAAGAAAUGAAAUUUCAAUUAUUAUAAGCCGAAAUAAUCAUCAGAGAGCAUAGUUUUGGAUAGCAUCUAAUACGUUCAAGUUUUGAGUGUGCUUUUUCAAUAAUUUUUAUGCUAUCAUUUAAGCUUGGAUGCCUUUGAAAGCUAAAAACUCCAAAUGUUUAAGAUACUGACUAUGACUAUCCCAAAAAUCAGUUGUUGAGAAUUCAUGUCAUCAUUAAAGUAUGGAUUCUGCAAGUUAGUUUAAACUCUUAGGUCAUCAAGGCACAUCUACAUAUCAACAAGUAGCCUUGAAAGGGAAUUUAAAAGUAAACUUUCAACAAAUCCCCGUAUCAGUCAUCAAUUAAAACAAUGGCAUGGACUCAUGCCAGCUACUAAUUCAGGCAACACUCUUGGUUGGAACCUCAGUGUGAGUAACACUGAACUAGAAUAGUAUGGCACAAAUCAUUCUCUUAUCUGCUGUAAUGGCCAUUUUCUACAUAAAUCAAGACCAGAACAUGUCUGCACCUAUUGCAUUUGACAGAAAGUUCUAAUAGAAUUUAGAAUGUAGUGAUGCACUAUAUUAAGCUCUGCUUACUAUUUACACAUUGAGUAACUAUGAGCAAUUACCUAAAUAUAAGGAAUAAUAGAACUAACCAAGAAUCUCCAUGUGGUCAUACCCAAGGGAAGAAAUGCCGCAUACUACAGGUUUCUGAACCUGAAAAAUGAAGUUUGUUAUGCCUAUUAGAACUUUCAGAACAAUAUGUAUCCUAGCGCGUAGAUGGCCUGAUACAAUUGGAAUAAUUUUAUAAAAUGAUGUUUAUGACAAGAGAUCUAAAAAUGAUAUGAAUAUAUUGAUUUCUUCAUCAAACAACAUCAAAACAUACCACAUUUGUUGCAUCAAACCUUCCACCUAAUCCAACCUCUAAGAUAGCAACAUCUAUCUGCAUAGAACAACAUGGUAAAGGUAAUAUUUCCCACUCCACACAUCUGGACAGAAAUAAUAUUCAGGUACUAGGUACGAAAUUUUUGCAAGAGGUAAACUAUAUGUAUCAAACCUGCUCUGCUGUAAAUAUCUUGAAGGCAAGUAAUGCAAGGAAGCGAAAGUAAGAAGGCAUGGGUAUGUCUUCAGUAGCUUUUUCCUGCAUACACAAAUGAAGGAAAGGAAAAAAGAUGCAAAUAAAUACACCAUGAAAUCACAUAGCUUUGCAUAAAAGAGACAACUCUUUCAUUCAUGGAUCAAUAUGAUUCCCUUGCAGUACGUAAAUAUUUAAUCCAAGAAUAAGCAUGAUUCCACCAAUUUUAAGUAAAUGUAUCCUGAUACAAUUAACCCAACUUGAAUCAUUCUCCAAGCAUAUGGAUCACAACUAACAGAAUUUUUUAGGAUGGAACAAUCCAAAGUAUAGGGAUAGAAUAAUAUUUAAAUAGAAGGAAAAAAGAGUAAACAAGGCAAGAACAUACCUUCAGUCUAUCAUAACACCACCAAAAAUAUGCCAAAAAUUUGUCUUCACUUAUGUCAUCACUACAGCACGCAAAACAGCCAUUAAUUUAAAUAUCCACAAUGUUAAACACAAUACGUAUAGAAAAGAGUGAAACUGCAAGUAUGGUUCCCAACUUCAGCGAAGUAAUUGGCACUUCCUAAGGCCAACGAAAUUAGCAAAAUGUGAAUCUGAAAUAUAUAAAAGAUCACGUACUGCUAGAAAUAUUUUGAGAUAUAUAUUAAUUAAAUUGAGUUUCAAUCCAAGAAAAAGAAAAAAAAAAAGAAAAUUAGUCACUUGAAAAUAAACUGUAAUUUGACUCUGCUUUUUGUUCAAUGAGUUAAGAAAAUGUUACAAGUCUAGUUUAUCCAAAGAACCAGAAUCACAUAAUAACGAGUAUUAAUUGAGAAUCAAACAACAGAAAAUUAAGUGAAGUAUAGGUCAUAUAUAUAACUUAAUAUUAAUUUGACUAAUGUACGCUAACUCUACUUGAGCGUGUUAGUUGGUUCAACUAGUAAAACCGCUCAGGGAGGGGUCUGGGUUUGAGCCCACUCAAAUGGGGUGUGGCAAGAUUUAGUUUCCGGUCAUACAUGCCUAAAUAAAAUGAACAUACAUCUAUUCGAGGAAUUGAAGAACUCACCCAUCCAAACGAAAUCUUUCUCUAACAUCAAUGAGGUGAGGAGAUGUGAAAAGUCCUGUCCGGAAGCCACAAUUACGCAAUAUAGAUUCCGUAAAUGUGCAGGUGGAUCCCUUUCCAGUUGAAAAGGAAAAAAAUGAACUCAUGUCAAACGACAUUGAAAUUAUAUUUGCCUAGUAGAACUCAUGUCAACCACUUAGUUUAGGACUUUCAAUUGAAUGCUUGUACGAAAUUCAAUAGAAAUAUGCUCAAAAACUUGAAAACACAUCCGAAGUGUAAAAUCUUAAUAAUUUUAAAUUCUCAAUUUAUGAACUCACAGCGGCUAUCAGAAGGUAGUUAAAUAUGCAACAUAGAAUUAAGCUCAAAUUUAUUUUUUCAAAAAGAUAGAGAAACAAAAAUAAAUUACCUUUCCUUUGGUACCAGCAACAUGAAUAACCUUCAAUUGAGAAAUUGCCACAUCUAAGUCCAAAAUCUAUAGAACAGAGUUAGUUCAAUCUCAUUAUAAUUUGCACCAGUAAAAAAGUAAAAUAAUAAUAAUAAUAAAGAAACGAAAAAUAUUUACCUUUAGAUAAUCGGAAAGCAGCUCGAAGCGAUCCCCGUUGUUGCUCUUAUCAGCACGACUGCGUUUUGUUAUAAGAGAAGACAAAGCAUCCAACGCUUCCUCGUAUGCAGUAACAGUUUUAUUACCUUCUGCCAUUUUCGAUUUGAAUCUCAAUUCAAAAACCUGAAUUCAACAGAAAUAACUAACUUUUAAGUGAUGAAAAAAGAAUGGUAUAGUAUAGAAUGUGAACACGUAUUGGUGGACACGUGUGUGCGUGUGAAACGACAGAGGAGGAGACCGUUUUGGUGGUGUUCGAGGCGGCGAGAGAGAGAUAGCAAGUGGAAGUGGUUGUUGGUUUGGGGAAAAUAUGAAGACGGGAUUGGGAUUGGGGUUGGGUGGAGGGUUGAAGUCGAACGUCAUUGUGUUUGCGAACGCUAAACGACGGGGUCACCGUGACGUUGAUUUUUUUUAUGCAAGCCAUUUUAAUGUAUCAGUUUCAAUAUUUUGUCUCAUUCCCUUUAUUUACUUCUUAAUAAAUUUUGAUCAUAAUAAUAAUAAUAAUAACGUCAUUUAAAAUAAUAAAAUUAUUUAUGAUUUGAACGAGAAUAAUUUGAUAAAUAUAAAAAAUUAGAGGAAUACAAAAAUAAAUAUGAGUUUCAUGUUCAUUCAUUUAUUCUCAUUCUCAACCCCCUCACAUGAGAAUGUGAUUCUCAUUCUUUAUUCUUAAAUUACGUGGGAUCCACAUAUUUUGUUCUCACUCUAAAAUUAUAUUUUACUAAAUAAAUAUAUUUUUCAUUCUCAUUCAUUCAUUCAUAUCUCCUAAACCCUAGUAAACACAUCAUUAUUUACUUAUUAAAAUCGGAUCCAUCUAUCUUUCAAUUAUCAUUUUUUUUUUAAUUAUGAUUCCACUAUCAGUCAUAAAAUGAAUAACACGUCAAUUAAGAUUUUAACUCAAAUUUUGUUAUUUAGCAGUACUUUCGUUUCUCGUGUUUGGUUACUUUCCAGGGAAAUUAUGUUUAUGUAAUUAUUGUAUAGCUCCCUCCGAUUGUGAUAUAAUUUCUUACAUAGCAUAUCUUUUCAUUUAAAGUUAGCUUGAGAUUAUAGUAAUAUAGUGAUUGAUAAAAUAGAUUAUUUUUAUGGUAUAAAUAAAAUAUACUAUUAAUUAAAAAAAUAAUUUAGUGUUUGAUAAAAUUGUAUUAUUAAAAUUAUUGUGAGUUUAAAAAAUAGAGUAUAGACUUUUGAUAAAUUUUAUAACACAAAUAUUAUUUUAUUAUAUAAUGACAAAAAAGACACAAAUUUAAAUUAUCUUUUAUUUUAUAUUAGACUUUGUGGAAAAAUAAAAUACAAUUAUCCUUUUGUUAAAAUAUUAAAAUUAUAAUAAGAAUUUUUUAAAAAUGUGGUGACUUAUUUAAACUCCAUUAAUAAAUUUUGACAAAAAGAUAUUUGAUAAAUUAUGUUAAAAACUAUUGUUUCAUAAAUUUCUCAAUUUCAAUAGUAUCUUUUAAAAGUAAGUGAUGAUUACUUUCCAUAAACAACUUGUCAAAUAAGUCACUAAACUUUUUUUAAAUCCAUAUUACAACCUUAAUAUUUUAACAAAAAGAUAAUUAUAUCUUAUUUUUUGUAAGCCCUAAUAUAUAUAUAUAUUUAAAGCUAUGUCUAUUUUGAUUAUUAACAAUUAUUUUGUAAUAAAAUUUAUUAAACACACAUUCUCCAUUUUUUUAACUCACAACUAAUAUGACAACACAGCUUACUAAACAUUAAGUUACUUUUUUAAAUCAAUAACUUAUUUACAAUAUAUUUCAUCAACAAUUAUAAAAGUCCAUAACCCCCAAACUUAUCGUUAUUAAACUACUUGUCUAAAGUUACUUGCUGUAAAAAAAAAUUAAAAAUAAACAAUUUCAACAUGUUAUGCCAAUGACACUUUAUUAAACACUUCUUGCAAAAAUAUGAUGUUAAUACUCCAAACUCCACAAAUAAACAAUAAGGCAAACAACUUCAACCUGAACUUUAGGUCAACAAGAGAAAGGCCUCUUAUACGGUAAAAUGAAACCUUAGCAUGUUAAUAAUGAAUACGUCAACACAUAGUUUAAUACACACAAAAAUUAAUAUACACACAAGCCAAAACUGAUUACAACAUGUUGCUGUCACAAGCAAUUGCUGCAAGAAAAACAACAUUAAAGAGACAUUUGCAAAUUCUGGGAUUCUAUAUUAAAAUAUAUACACAAGUAAAGAAGUCACCUCUGAACUAUUACAAGCACGAAGAACAGUUAACGGCUGUGGUUUGCCGCGAAUAUCAUAGAACACCACACGGCCAUUACUUGUUCCUGCUGUCAAUAUCCAAUCAUCAUCUAUAAAUGCUAACGAAGAGAAAGGUGCCUCAUAUGUGAUGCAAGAUGAGGGUCUUCUAGACCCUGGGUCAUAAGUGUAUAGCUUCUUAUCCAGUCCAACACUAGCAAUUAUCUGUCACAAGGAGAACAUUAGGCAAAAUAACGUUUAAUUACUUUCACUGGAUGACCCCAUAUGGGACUGUUUCAGAGCAUGAUAUAUUCACCUUCUUACAUCUCUGUCAGUUUAUUGCAAAAAAGUGCCGAGUUAAUAAGAUAAAGACUAUACCUUAUCAUCGGAUGAGAAGCUAAUCCCAGCAGUUGGUGCAGAAUGCUGUUUCAACCAAGAAACCUGUAAGCAGAAAAGUGAUUGUUAUGAUCCCGAAAAAUUGUUUCAAACCUAAAACAAGGGCAUCUACAGUGCUACAAGGAAUUAAUAUUGGACAUGAUAAUACUAAUGAACCCAAAACAGAAGAGCGCAUGUCAAAAAGUUUUCUCCUCAUUUUUAACCAACCCCCCUAUUACCGGCCAAUGCCAAAAAUCUGAUAGUGGAAGAAAAAGAGGAUAUUAGAAAGAUGCAUGAAUGGCUUGACCAUAGUGUAAGUCGGAUGUUUCUAUGAUAAGCAGCAGAUCCCCUAUCAGAAAAGAUGAUGACCAUAUCUGAAAUAUUUCAAGGUACGGAGCAGCCUAAUUCAACAUCUAAAUAUUAUUUGGAACAAAAAGAUUUGCUAAAUUAAAGGAAAUCGUCUUGACUUCUCGAUGUACUUUGUAAAAUUCUGUGCUACCACACCUCAUUCAAAAUUACAAUUACUGAACAAUAACUAUGACGACACAAGCACAAAAUCAACAGGAUUUUUCCGACAAAGUAUUUGAAAUCUAGCUUUGAAAGGACCAAGGUAAGCACGACAUUCAGUAAGUUAAAUGAAACUCUUCUUAUACAUGCAAUUCAUUAAACCAAAUCAGACGUCCCGUAGUAUGUACAUGUUUCCGAACCCAAUAAUGGAAAUACUGAAUACCUUUGGGCUACGCCCAGUAGUAUCCCACAAAUGUAAAGUCCCAUCAUCACCUGCUGUCACCAAAAGGUGUCGACUAUUCCGUGAAUAAUCAAGCACCCUCAGUACCUGGCCUUAAAUCCAUCAGACAAACAAUUAGCUUGGGUAGCAGAGACUCUCGGUCAUAAACACUAGAAUACAACCCAGCUACAAGAACCUAAACAACCUGUUCAUUAGGAUCCUUGAGUUCAGCAGCCUUUGCUCCCGAUGCAAGGUUGUGGAGAAUAAGGUCCCCGCUUAAACUGAUAGAAGCCAAGUGCUCAUCUUUGCAAUUGUACAUUGCACCUGUUAUAGUAUUGGUAUGACCCCUCAACCAUUUGAUGCAGCGUUUCCUCUGAAGGUCCCAUAUUCUUACAACUUGACUGCUUCCCCCAGAACAUAUAUAUCUGGAUCCCUUGUUGCUAAAACUAAUAGCCAAUAUUGAUUCCUGAAAAAAUGAGAAAAAUUCCCAACAAUAAGUUGAUACAUUAGACCUGUAAAGCCUAUUUACUGGAAAAUGCGGAUCUUUAGUUUACCACAAGCAACUGAAGCUGGCAGAAUGAAUGACAAAUUGGGGGGAAAAAACAAUAAAAGUUCAAAACCUUUGCCACAUAGAAGACAACUCCUAAAAACAUGGCUUAGGAUGAGCCAUUGCUGGCGUGCAAUUGGGGAAGAAGUCAUGCACCGUUCUGUCAUUGAAUCUCUAGAAGAUAGAAUGACUGGUACUAGAAGUACACAUAGACAAACCCACAUGCUUCAAAUUUAAUACUUCGAUUGAUGGUAGAUCAGAGCUAGAAGAGGAUUACCUCAAUAUUGUCUCCGCUAUCUGUACCAGCUACCGGAAUUGUUCCCAUGCUCACCCCAUUCUUCCUCCACAAUGAUAUCUUCUUAUCUUCUCCAGCACUUGCAACAACUAAAUCUGCAGGAAUCAUAUCCCAAAUAGAACGGUCCAUUAAUCAAAUAAUCUAAAGGAGAAGUUGAUUCAAUACCCUCUCAACUAAGUCUAAUGAUCAUUUGCUAAACCGAAUCCAAUUUUUUCAGUUAGAUACAAAAGCUAAAUAUCAACAAUCAAACAACAAAACCUGAUCUAGAGCUCCAGUCAACAAAAUAACACAUUUCCUUCACUCCUUUUAAAUUCAUCUAAUUUAUCAUCAACUAAAGAAGUCCCAUUUUUUCCAUUGAGGGAAUGAGUAAGUUGACUCACUGGUGUGAUUCCACUUGACCGAGUUAACCAGGCAACCGGGAGAUGGCGUGUAGUUUAAAAUGCAAGGAUCGCCGUGCUCAACGGACACAUCGAAGAGCUUGACAGUGUCGCCACAGCUCGCCGCCAGCAACGCCGUUGACAGAUCCUUCAAGUUCGUCAUCUUUCCACAGGGAAUUUCGAACGUAAUUCGAAACUUUCCCGGAAAAUAGAAAGUACUUCGAAAAAGAAAGUGGAUUUGAAAUUUAGUUUUUAAUGUUAAAAAAAGGGAACCCUAACCGAAAGAGAGAGAAAGAAAGAGGCAAAAAAUUUAAAUGAGUAGAGAGGUAAUGAACGCGGGCGCCUUUAUAUCUUCUCUAGCUAUUAACGUCAGUCAGCAGCCCUCAUACUUUAUAAGUUUUUCAAUUUAUUAUUAUUAGUUUCCGUUGGUUAAUUUUAAUCUCAAAUAUUAUUUAAGAGUAAUUUUUAAAAACCUCUCCUGAGGUUUGGGCUUGUUGCAAGUAGAUGGCGAGAAUUGAUUUAUUUAUAAAAAACCCCCUACCAUCAAUUAAGUUUAACAUUGACCGUUAGUUGACCGUGCAAAGACAAUAUUACCCUCAACAAUAGUUUGUAAACGAAAAUAACUAAAAAAAAACUAAAAUUAUUGGUGCAAAAAUGCUGUACCGUACAUCCGCCUUGGCCGUACANNNNNNNNNNNNNNNNNNNNNNNNNNNNNNNNNNNNNNNNNNNNNNNNNNNNNNNNNNNNNNNNNNNNNNNNNNNNNNNNNNNNNNNNNNNNNNNNNNNNNNNNNNNNNNNNNNNNNNNNNNNNNNNNNNNNNNNNNNNNNNNNNNNNNNNNNNNNNNNNNNNNNNNNNNNNNNNNNNNNNNNNNNNNNNNNNNNNNNNNNNNNNNNNNNNNNNNNNNNNNNNNNNNNNNNNNNNNNNNNNNNNNNNNNNNNNNNNNNNNNNNNNNNNNNNNNNNNNNNNNNNNNNNNNNNNNNNNNNNNNNNNNNNNNNNNNNNNNNNNNNNNNNNNNNNNNNNNNNNNNNNNNNNNNNNNNNNNNNNNNNNNNNNNNNNNNNNNNNNNNNNNNNNNNNNNNNNNNNNNNNNNNNNNNNNNNNNNNNNNNNNNNNNNNNNNNNNNNNNNNNNNNNNNNNNNNNNNNNNNNNNNNNNNNNNNNNNNNNNNNNNNNNNNNNNNNNNNNNNNNNNNNNNNNNNNNNNNNNNNNNNNNNNNNNNNNNNNNNNNNNNNNNNNNNNNNNNNNNNNNNNNNNNNNNNNNNNNNNNNNNNNNNNNNNNNNNNNNNNNNNNNNNNNNNNNNNNNNNNNNNNNNNNNNNNNNNNNNNNNNNNNNNNNNNNNNNNNNNNNNNNNNNNNNNNNNNNNNNNNNNNNNNNNNNNNNNNNNNNNNNNNNNNNNNNNNNNNNNNNNNNNNNNNNNNNNNNNNNNNNNNNNNNNNNNNNNNNNNNNNNNNNNNNNNNNNNNNNNNNNNNNNNNNNNNNNNNNNNNNNNNNNNNNNNNNNNNNNNNNNNNNNNNNNNNNNNNNNNNNNNNNNNNNNNNNNNNNNNNNNNNNNNNNNNNNNNNNNNNNNNNNNNNNNNNNNNNNNNNNNNNNNNNNNNNNNNNNNNNNNNNNNNNNNNNNNNNNNNNNNNNNNNNNNNNNNNNNNNNNNNNNNNNNNNNNNNNNNNNNNNNNNNNNNNNNNNNNNNNNNNNNNNNNNNNNNNNNNNNNNNNNNNNNNNNNNNNNNNNNNNNNNNNNNNNNNNNNNNNNNNNNNNNNNNNNNNNNNNNNNNNNNNNNNNNNNNNNNNNNNNNNNNNNNNNNNNNNNNNNNNNNNNNNNNNNNNNNNNNNNNNNNNNNNNNNNNNNNNNNNNNNNNNNNNNNNNNNNNNNNNNNNNNNNNNNNNNNNNNNNNNNNNNNNNNNNNNNNNNNNNNNNNNNNNNNNNNNNNNNNNNNNNNNNNNNNNNNNNNNNNNNNNNNNNNNNNNNNNNNNNNNNNNNNNNNNNNNNNNNNNNNNNNNNNNNNNNNNNNNNNNNNNNNNNNNNNNNNNNNNNNNNNNNNNNNNNNNNNNNNNNNNNNNNNNNNNNNNNNNNNNNNNNNNNNNNNNNNNNNNNNNNNNNNNNNNNNNNNNNNNNNNNNNNNNNNNNNNNNNNNNNNNNNNNNNNNNNNNNNNNNNNNNNNNNNNNNNNNNNNNNNNNNNNNNNNNNNNNNNNNNNNNNNNNNNNNNNNNNNNNNNNNNNNNNNNNNNNNNNNNNNNNNNNNNNNNNNNNNNNNNUUUUUUUCUGUUUGGGGGGAUAUUGAAAACAUACUGCUGUACGGCCAAGGCGGAUGUACGGUACAGCAGAAUUCACAUUCAUAUCUCCCCUAACAUGCGAUUAAGAUUAAAAAGAAAGAAACCAUGAGAAAACAGAAGCUAACUUGGACGGCAAAAAAUCUCAUGAAUUCUAAGACCCAAAGGCAGUUGAAUUAUGACUUUGAGAAUAUUUUGACACUAUGCCAAACGUCCAGUACGAUGUAGAAAACAGCUGUUGUCGUCUUCCAACAGUGUAUAUUUAGAGCACUCGCCAAAGUAGCUACACCAAAAUAAAACUGUGCUAAAGGUUGAAAUUAAUAUCUUACACCCAGAAGAAAGAAAUAAAUAUUCACACAUUGCAGGAAGCAUCUGGAAACAAAACUGAAAUGAGGACAAACCUGUUUAGAUGUUGAACUGGAUUUCCAAUCAAAUACUGAGUGCUCAUUUGAACCAUCCUCUGCAUAAGGGAAUCUCCUGCUGGAUGAAGGAAACAACAUGGAUGAAGGCUUCUUGUCAAUGGGUAGAUGAUCUUUCUUCGCUCCUUCAUGACCAUCCCACAGUUUAUCAAGUGAUGGUGUAAUUGGCUGAACAUCAACAAGAGGGGAAAACACUUCCAUAUCAUCCUUAAAAUUAUAACUUGAUCGAGGGGCAUGUAAUCUUGCCAAUGGUCCGCCUGGACGGAGAUAGCUACGUUGUGGUGUUUCCUCUCCUGAAGGCAGACUUUGUGUCCUAGACACAGAACCAGUACCACCCACAGUAAGAGAAGAUGCUUCUGCAGAAGGACCUGAACGGCUACUAGGACGAGAACCGGAUACAGCAGUGGACAGAGAAACGCUUGAUGAUGUCACUGAGGGAAGUGGGUCAGGCAUAAGAAUAGAGUCCCCGACAGCACCUCCUAGAAGAGCAGUCUCAGCUUUGCAAGUAGUCUCAUCAAUAAAAACUGGCUUUGCUCUUUGCCAGCACAAACUUGACACAGCCUGAUAAACACUUCAAAUACUUAGUAUUUAUAGAGAUUGCCAAAACAUGAUCUAAUACUCUGAACUCCACAGAUAAACAAUAAGGCAAACAACAUCAACCUGAACCUUAGGUCAACAAGAGAAAGGCCUCUUAUAUGGUAAAAUCAAACCUUAGCAUGUUAAUAAUGAAUACGUCAACACAUAGUUUAAUACACUCAAAAAAUAAUAUAAAAACAAGCCAAAACUGAUUACAACAUGUUGAUGUCACAAGCAAUUGCUACAAGAAAAACAACAUUAAAGAGACAUUUGCAAAUUCUGGGAUUCUUUAUUAAAAUAUAUACACAAGUAAAGAAGUCACCUCUGAACUACUACAAGCACGAAGAACAGUUAACGGCUGUGGUUUGCCACGAAUAUCAUAAAACACCACACGGCCAUUACUUGUUCCUGCUGUCAAUAUCCAAUCAUCAUCUAUAAAUGCUAACGAAGAGAAAGGUGCCUCAUAUGUGAUGCAAGAUGAGGGUCUUCUAGACCCUGGGUCAUAAGUGUAUAGCUUCUUAUCCAGUCCAACACUAGCAAUUAUCUGUCACAAGGAGAACAUUAGGCAAAAUAACGUUUAAUUACUUUCACUGGAUGACCCCAUAUGGGACUGUUUCAGAGCAUGAUAUAUUCACCUUCUUACAUCUCUGUCAGUUUAUUGCAAAAAAGUGCCGAGUUAAUAAGAUAAAGACUAUACCUUAUCAUCGGAUGAGAAGCUAAUCCCAGCAGUUGGUGCAGAAUGCUGUUUCAACCAAGAAACCUGUAAGCAGAAAAGUGAUUGUUAUGAUCCCGAAAAAUUGUUUCAAACCUAAAACAAGGGCAUCUACAGUGCUACAAGGAAUUAAUAUUGGACAUGAUAAUACUAAUGAACCCAAAACAGAAGAGCGCAUGUCAAAAAGUUUUCUCCUCAUUUUUAACCAACCCCCCUAUUACCGGCCAAUGCCAAAAAUCUGAUAGUGGAAGAAAAAGAGGAUAUUAGAAAGAUGCAUGAAUGGCUUGACCAUAGUGUAAGUCGGAUGUUUCUAUGAUAAGCAGCAGAUCCCCUAUCAGAAAAGAUGAUGACCAUAUCUGAAAUAUUUCAAGGUACGGAGCAGCCUAAUUCAACAUCUAAAUAUUAUUUGGAACAAAAAGAUUUGCUAAAUUAAAGGAAAUCGUCUUGACUUCUCGAUGUACUUUGUAAAAUUCUGUGCUACCACACCUCAUUCAAAAUUACAAUUACUGAACAAUAACUAUGACGACACAAGCACAAAAUCAACAGGAUUUUUCCGACAAAGUAUUUGAAAUCUAGCUUUGAAAGGACCAAGGUAAGCACGACAUUCAGUAAGUUAAAUGAAACUCUUCUUAUACAUGCAAUUCAUUAAACCAAAUCAGACGUCCCGUAGUAUGUACAUGUUUCCGAACCCAAUAAUGGAAAUACUGAAUACCUUUGGGCUACGCCCAGUAGUAUCCCACAAAUGUAAAGUCCCAUCAUCACCUGCUGUCACCAAAAGGUGUCGACUAUUCCGUGAAUAAUCAAGCACCCUCAGUACCUGGCCUUAAAUCCAUCAGACAAACAAUUAGCUUGGGUAGCAGAGACUCUCGGUCAUAAACACUAGAAUACAACCCAGCUACAAGAACCUAAACAACCUGUUCAUUAGGAUCCUUGAGUUCAGCAGCCUUUGCUCCCGAUGCAAGGUUGUGGAGAAUAAGGUCCCCGCUUAAACUGAUAGAAGCCAAGUGCUCAUCUUUGCAAUUGUACAUUGCACCUGUUAUAGUAUUGGUAUGACCCCUCAACCAUUUGAUGCAGCGUUUCCUCUGAAGGUCCCAUAUUCUUACAACUUGACUGCUUCCCCCAGAACAUAUAUAUCUGGAUCCCUUGUUGCUAAAACUAAUAGCCAAUAUUGAUUCCUGAAAAAAUGAGAAAAAUUCCCAACAAUAAGUUGAUACAUUAGACCUGUAAAGCCUAUUUACUGGAAAAUGCGGAUCUUUAGUUUACCACAAGCAACUGAAGCUGGCAGAAUGAAUGACAAAUUGGGGGGAAAAAACAAUAAAAGUUCAAAACCUUUGCCACAUAGAAGACAACUCCUAAAAACAUGGCUUAGGAUGAGCCAUUGCUGGCGUGCAAUUGGGGAAGAAGUCAUGCACCGUUCUGUCAUUGAAUCUCUAGAAGAUAGAAUGACUGGUACUAGAAGUACACAUAGACAAACCCACAUGCUUCAAAUUUAAUACUUCGAUUGAUGGUAGAUCAGAGCUAGAAGAGGAUUACCUCAAUAUUGUCUCCGCUAUCUGUACCAGCUACCGGAAUUGUUCCCAUGCUCACCCCAUUCUUCCUCCACAAUGAUAUCUUCUUAUCUUCUCCAGCACUUGCAACAACUAAAUCUGCAGGAAUCAUAUCCCAAAUAGAACGGUCCAUUAAUCAAAUAAUCUAAAGGAGAAGUUGAUUCAAUACCCUCUCAACUAAGUCUAAUGAUCAUUUGCUAAACCGAAUCCAAUUUUUUCAGUUAGAUACAAAAGCUAAAUAUCAACAAUCAAACAACAAAACCUGAUCUAGAGCUCCAGUCAACAAAAUAACACAUUUCCUUCACUCCUUUUAAAUUCAUCUAAUUUAUCAUCAACUAAAGAAGUCCCAUUUUUUCCAUUGAGGGAAUGAGUAAGUUGACUCACUGGUGUGAUUCCACUUGACCGAGUUAACCAGGCAACCGGGAGAUGGCGUGUAGUUUAAAAUGCAAGGAUCGCCGUGCUCAACGGACACAUCGAAGAGCUUGACAGUGUCGCCACAGCUCGCCGCCAGCAACGCCGUUGACAGAUCCUUCAAGUUCGUCAUCUUUCCACAGGGAAUUUCGAACGUAAUUCGAAACUUUCCCGGAAAAUAGAAAGUACUUCGAAAAAGAAAGUGGAUUUGAAAUUUAGUUUUUAAUGUUAAAAAAAGGGAACCCUAACCGAAAGAGAGAGAAAGAAAGAGGCAAAAAAUUUAAAUGAGUAGAGAGGUAAUGAACGCGGGCGCCUUUAUAUCUUCUCUAGCUAUUAACGUCAGUCAGCAGCCCUCAUACUUUAUAAGUUUUUCAAUUUAUUAUUAUUAGUUUCCGUUGGUUAAUUUUAAUCUCAAAUAUUAUUUAAGAGUAAUUUUUAAAAACCUCUCCUGAGGUUUGGGCUUGUUGCAAGUAGAUGGCGAGAAUUGAUUUAUUUAUAAAAAACCCCCUACCAUCAAUUAAGUUUAACAUUGACCGUUAGUUGACCGUGCAAAGACAAUAUUACCCUCAACAAUAGUUUGUAAACGAAAAUAACUAAAAAAAAACUAAAAUUAUUGGUGCAAAAAGCACAAACCCUAUUUUUUGACAAUUUUAUUCUUGUCAAUUUUAAAAAUUUACAAUAUCAUAGGUAAAGAUUAUGACUAUUUCAUUUUUAAAUUUUUAAUUUUAUCUUUCUUGUAGGAAUUUUAAGGAAAUAUCAAUAAUUUAAAGAGGAUUUUUUAAUUUUUUAAUUUUAAUUUUUUAUAAGAACUUUAAGAAAAUAUCAAUAAUUUAAAAAGUGUAAAAUAGCUAAUAAUUUUGGUUUUUUUUAUAGUUAUUUUCGUUUAUAAACUAUUGUUAAGGGUAAUAUUGUCUUUGUAUGGUCAACUAACGGUCAAUGUUAAACUUAACUGACGGUAGGGGGUUUUUUAUAAAUAAAUCAAUUCUCGCCAUCUACUUUCAACAAACCCAAACCUCAGGGGAGGUUUUUAAAAAUUACCCUAUUAUUUAAUUAUUUACUUGAAAAAAUAAAAUAGUUUGCGUCCAUUAUUUUCAUCGGUACCCUGAGAUUUGUACUAUUAUCGAGAAUUUGUGAUAAAUUUUGAGACUUAUAGUAUUUUAUAUAUUAUAAUUCUAAAAUUAUUAUAUAUUCUCUUGAAUGUGGUUUUUUGUUUAUUUAUGAUAAAAUAUUAUAAUACUUAUAUUUUUUAAGAUAUAUAUAUACAUAUAUUAUUUAUUUAAUAUUUUAAUUUAAUAAUGAUACAAAUAUAAAAGUACAUGUAUUUAAGUUUUAAAAUUAAAAAUUAAAUAAUUUAAUACUUAUUUUCAGAGAUUCAAACAAAAAAUAAAAUAAUGUAUUGUUUAGAUUCAAAUAUUUAAUUAUCUGAAAAGGUUGAAAGUUUCCUUUAUUCUUUGAAAAUUCCUCUUAAUUUCAUUAACAACAAAUAGGAGAAAUACAUAAGAUAAAAAAUGAAAUAAUUAAAGAUGAUCAAUUCCACUGGAAUUAGAGCUUUAAAGCAUUUUUUUUUUUGUAGAGAAAAGUACUUGAAACAUGUGUAUAAAAAAAAAUCCACCAUUAAAUGGAAAUGUUUAUAAAUUUCCAAAAGUUUAUUUCAAUAUAUUCGAAGUAAAUUAAAAAUAGAAGAAAAAUGAAGAGAAAAGGAAUAGAAAGAAAGAUCGUUUAAAUAGGGUAAAUACGUCUAUGCAAAAAUUAUGCUGUUGUAGGACAUCAAAAUUAACAGAAUCCAGUAACGGUAAGGGCAUUGAAGGCUAGCUUUGAAACCUCAGAGGGUAUCACUUAUAUUCAAUCAGAUCUCAGGGGUACCCAUGAAAACAUCAAAUUAGUCAUUUAUUUAUUUAUGUAAUCGGCAGCCUCUUGGAAGCCUAAAAUUUAAUAGAGUAGCAGCUAACAGACAGAAUGUGGUAAUGCCUUCCAAGCAUCAAAUUUAACUCUGCAUGAAGACCCCAGCUUCAGAUGAAAGCCAUUUACCCGAAAUGGCAAACACAAUACAAUAAACAGGGCACUAUGAUCUAUUGCUCUAAAUACAAUAACCAUUGCAACCAACAGCUAUCACAUUAUCUUCAACAUCAAGGAAAAGCCGAAAACCGCAAACUGUGAUGGAAUACGGCCAAUUGUAUACGCUAAAAGGCAUAAGUUCCGAGCACUAUGUCAAAUGUAUAUUUAUAUACAUAGGUAGUUCAAAAUAACUAUCACCAGAGAGGCAAAAAUAAGGCAGAAAAAAUUAAAUCAAGAAAUUUCCAGCUUUUUCCUAAUAAGCUUGUCCCAGGAUCAGGAGAGCUUUUCCUCCAGUGAAGAGCCUAUUCUUGCAUUGCAUCCCUUGAAGUCAUUGUUCAGUUCUUUAUUUGGGCUUUUUUUUUCCCCAAGGAAAUGAGAAAUAAGUCUGCAACACAGGAAAGGAAAAACACAGUUACAGGUGGAUGGUAGUAUAUAAUACUGGUAAAAGAGGGGCCGGAAUAGUUACAAUUGCAACUAAUAAGUACCAUAUAAGCAAAUAUUCUGGAUGUGAAUCAAAACCUAUCAAGUACGCAUUUUGUUUUAUAUGGUAAAAGCGAAUGAAUUGCUUUUUUGUCUGUUUUUUCCGCCAACAGUAAAACGGAAUACACGCAUCAAACAUGUUCUACAAACAGCACUUUACGCGUGGCUGCUUCUUUGCAACUAACAUGCCUGUCAGAUGUUCCACGGAUUAGAGAACCAAUUGAGAUUCCCAGUGAACCAAGUCUUAAGGAUCGAGAAACCAAUCAUGACUUAUCCACUAAUUGAUUUGAAAACAGGUAAUAAAUUCCAAUUUUAAUGGACAAAUUAACACUCUAGUGUAUGAUUUAGAUGAACAGAAGUGCCAACUAUGACACACUGAAGUUUCUCCAACAAUAGAACAAAUUCAGGAGUAGAUGAUUUUUUUUCUCUCCAAAUUUCUAUCCCAACACAAUACAUGUUUUUGAGGACCUAAAGCAGCUCAACCCUUUACAAAGAUGAUCUCAUAAUUACAGAUUGAUUCUAGUUAAACAUUAAAAAAAUAAAUAAUAAUAAUAAUAAGAAAAUUCUAAAUUCCAAACAAGCCCCUACACCCCCAUCCCCUCAAGAAAGAGAAAGAGCAAGAAAAUCAGAAAGAGAGGACAUCAACAGCAAGCGAUAAAAUUAACGCAUACACAGCCACCAUAGCCACAAACCACCAGCAUUGAUAUUCAAAACAAGGAAACCAAAGCAAUAAGAAGUAAUGUUCAGCUGACCUUGGUAAAAGCUAACGAUAUUGCAAGGAUCACAUUUUUGUUGACACCAUGAACUUCACUUUUUUCUCUGCGGGCUUGAGAAUUUGAAAUGAACACACCAGCUCUUCAUCAAUACUCAUCAUCGCUCCGGCAUUAUCAAAUUCACCACAAUAGUUGGGGGCCGAGAAUAUGGUAACAAGUUGCCUAUCAGCAAAGAACUCAUACCCAUCCUCCACAACCUAGAACAAAUCACAUCAUGAUUGAAGUUGCAAGAGCUAACGGAACAUUUUUACCGGCCCUCCGGUACUGAAAGAAAAGGAAAAAAAAUGGAAAAAGAAAGAGUAGGAAAGUCGACCACCUGAUGGGCACGGCAGACAAGGUCCAAAUCAUGCCUUUUUAAGAAUUCCGACACCUUGUCAGGACCAAACGUGUAUGAAACUCCUCUGUCAUUCAUUCCCCAUCCCUUGACAUCUCUACCAGGGUCCGACCACAGCAAAUCACAGAGCAAACCAGUGUCGGGAACAGCAGUUGGACGAGGUAGAUUUCUAAUUUGAUCCAAGUGUGAGAGAUCAGGGGAAAGACCGCCAUGCAUGCACAAUAUCUUUUCAUCUAUAAGAGCCGCCACAGGAAGGCAGUUGAAACAAUCAGUAAAGGCUUUCCAAAGCCUCACAUUAAACCGUCGCUUGCACUCAUCAUAAAAUCCAUAAAUCCGAUUAAUAGAAGCACAUUCAUGAUUUCCUCGUAAAAGAAAAAAGUUCUCUGGAUACUUAAUCUUAUAGGCAAGCAAAAGGCAUAUUGUUUCCAAACUCUGCUUCCCACGAUCAACAUAGUCCCCUAAAAACAAAUAAUUGGCUUUAGGAGGAUAACCUCCGUAUUCGAAAAGCCUCAAUAAAUCACUAUAUUGUCCAUGUACAUCACCUGCAAACACAAAUAAAGGUUUUGUGAAGUUGAAAAGAAGAAACUUAGGAUAAUUCAUUAUAACAACAAAAAAAUUCAAAAGAAUAAUUAGAAGAGAGCAAAUAAGCCACUUCUUCUAAUGUGAAAAGAGCUGGAAAGCAGGACUCUACUUGGAAUAUGAUCUGUGAUUACUUGGAAUAUCUACAGAGGUUCAAUGCUUUAGACUGUAUUCUAAUUUCUCAUACCAUAUCACUUCUGGACUUGAGGCAGAGAUUGCAUUGCACUCUGUACUCAUUGAAGACCUUGCAUUUUAUCCAAAGGAAUAUUGCUACAAACAGCUCACGUUAGGACUGUAUGUCAACAGCCUUUAAGCUUUGUCUGAACCUAUUUGGCCAUCAAACAUCUCAACCCCACCUGAAAUUUUUAACUUUGUACAGAAUAAUUUUCUAAAUGAAAUGAACAUGGGUACUAGAGAUUUUACACUUGAAAAAUUUUAAGUUCCAAUUCUUAUGGCUUCUUAGCAAUCAAACAAUGCACACACGAGGAUUCAGGAUCAAUGCCCAUCAACAGACUGAUUAUUAAGUUCACAUUCCAAACCUAAACAUGUUGUACAUUAUAAAAGGACGUAGGCUACAAGACCUGUGUGAAAAUUUGCAUACUUGUAGAGCCAAUGAUUCUUUUCAACUUUCUAAGUACCCCCCAAAAAAAAAAAACCAUCCAUGUUGCUACUAUGCCAUAUCAACCCCAAAAAAAAAACCCUCAAAAAGACAUAAAUUUUAGCACAAUAAAUCAUAAAACUCAAUUUUUUCUUUUUAUUGAUUCAGUUAACAAUCUGAAUAUACCCACAAAAUAAAAUUAAUGAAUUUAUUUAUUUAUUAAAAGUACCACAAAUUUUCAUGGGGGCUUCAAGUUCGAGCAAAUUAGGUUGUCUCAUGAAGAUGUCCCUGGAGGCAACACAAAGCUGCUUGAUCUCAGACUCAGAAAGCUGGACUUGCUUGCCGGGUCGGGCGAAUCGAACCUCCGUAAGCCGGUGGAUUAUGUCAUCCAGUGCAUUCGGGUCCAUGAUGGUACCCUGCUGCUGCCCUUGUGUUGUUGCCAUUUGAUAGUUGGUUUUCAAUGGCUUUGAUUGAUUAAAAAAUCAAAGAUGAUCUCACACACAAGGAGAGAAUCAGAGAGAGUUUCAGUUUUUGUUAGCUUUCGGUCUUCUUGUUCUGUUUGUGUACGUUUUCUUUGCGAUGGUUUUUUUUUUUUUUUUUUUUUUUUUUUUUUUCUGUUUGGGGGGAUAUUGAAAACAUAAAUUAAAAAUACAGAAACAAGUUUUCGUGGACUCAAAAAUAAAAAUGGCAUUCUUGGAAAACAAAAGCGAAAGAUAUUGAAUAAUUAAUUUUAUAUGUGAAUUAUUUUUGUAGUUUUUUUUUUACCAAGCUAUGUGUUCUUAUGUUAAUUAAUUAACUGGGUACACAAGGACAACUGAAAAGAUUUAUAGCAAUUACACUACACCACUACAAAUCAAUUCAACGGUGAACUUUUUAAGAAUCAUAUAUAAAUUUGCAAUGGGUCUCAAAAAUAAAGAUAUGAUUAUAUUAGAAUUAUUCCACCAUACAGCACUGCAAACAAGUCCGUGACCUUAUGCAAGCUUUCUUCAUAAAGAUAUGAUUAUAUUAGAAUUAUUGAUGAUUAUUUGCUAGCUUUCUUCAUUUGAUGGGGUGUCUCACUCCGACGUCGUUUAGAGGUGGCAAACAAGUCCGUGACCUUAUGCAACGUCGUUUCGGUGUUUCCUUUUUCUCUUUGGGCCUAUUUUCAUCCCUGAAAUUUCGACAAUUAUUAUUUUGCGAAACUCUUUCCAUUGUUUUUUUUAAUUGUUUUUAAAAAAGCAAAACGGAAUUGAUUUAACGUUAGGACCUAUUCCACAGUCUCAUCCAAAAAUUAUAUUAAUUUUUUAUUUCAAAAAAUAGUCUAUUCAAUAAUAAAAGAGUGAUGAUAGAAUUACAAACUUAUUUAAUACAAAUUAAUAUAGCAUAAAUUCAUUAGUGAAUGAAAAUAAAAAUAAUAAAAAUAAAUUAUAUGGACCAAAAAGUAUUUAAUUCUAACCAAUUUAAUAAUACCACUACGGUUUACAAAAAAGAAAUUUAUAUAAGAGUUUGUAUCUCUACUCAUAAUCAAAUGCAACAUUAACCUAUUAAAAGUGUUUUACUCCUACUAAUGUUUUGUCGUCAGGCAUAGAAUGAUAGGUAUAAAAAAUUUAUGAGAAACUGAAAAUAAAAAUAAAUCAUGUUGAGCAAUUUAAAAGCAACAUUUUCAGGAAAAUAAAUAUUAAUUAAUUUCGUUUUCUCAAGAGAAUAACUUUUAAUUAAUUUCCUAUGAACGCAGAUUGUGGACAUUUUUUUUCUUGCUUUUGAAUUUUGCUUGAGCACAUACAUAUCAAGAUUACGAAUGACGUUAAUUUAGAAGCAAACUAAAGAACAAAAUGUGAUCACACCAUUUGGUAGUAGCUAUUUAUCCUAUUUGUUUCAAAAUUUAGGUUAGGAAAAUUCCAAUUACAGAAAGAGAUAAAAGAAAAAGACACAAACAACAUUACCAAGAUAGGUUAGCUUGAGUGGAGUUUGGUAGUUUAGUCUUCAUACUUUUGCCGUCCUAAGUAAGGGAAACAAACUUUCCAAUGAACUAAAAAUGAAGAUGGAUAUUGUUUCUUUUAGGAUUAAAAUGAAAGUAUUAUUGCAAGUUUUGGAUUUUUAAGAGAUACAAACAAAUUUUGAUGUGGAUGUUUUACUUGCUGGCACUACAAAGGAGAAAGUGGCUGCCUAAUCAUGAAAAUGCUUUCACAUCCGUCGAAAUUUUUCUUAAAAUUUAUUAAAUAUUUAAGAUAUCUUUCCCCUCACUUUUAUCAAAUAUUUAAAACUUCAUCAAAAUUUUUAUUCGACGUGGAUGUGCUCUCUCCUCCCUCUACAAUUUCCAAAUUUCAAAAAAAUAAAAGAUCCAGCAUUAAUUAUGUUUCUCUCAUACUCCAUUAGCACCUAAUUUCUCAUAAUUCUCUUUCGUCUGUCCUCCGUUUUGCCCAACAACUCAGUCAUUUUCAUUAAUAUAUUUUGUGUACAUGUGUAGCUUGGUCCAUCUUUGUCUUUGCCAAUUUCUUCUACAUUCUUGACUUGGUCCAAUUGGAAACUUCAACAAUGGCCCCGCCAUGUAGCAUUUGAGUAAGGCUGACUUCGAUUGAAAAUGGACUUUUCCUUGGCGUUAGUGAUGGUGCUGCUAGUGUAGACUAUUAUGGGGCUCCAUCCUCCUCGACCAUCGAAAGGUUUUUCUGAAAAUGUCUCAAUGAAGCAAGAAGCUUAUUGAGUAGUGGGUUUGUUUUGUACGCAAGAGGUUUUAUGAAAUGGAAGGGAGAGUGGGGAGAGGGAGAUAUAUGACUAAUAAUUUGCCAGUGAUGCCAUUGGUGCGCGAAAUGACUAGAUCCUGCUUUCAAGUGAAUAACAUCCAAAAAUGAUUCGGCAACACACAUCAGAAUGGAUUACAAAUUGCAAUUGCAAGUCUCACAAUCAAAUUCAAAGGUCUCACCAACAUCACAAUCACAAUAAAUCAAUAAUUUUCUGGAGAACGAAUUAAGAUUGGCAAUUGCACCUGGUCAGAUCAAUAAAUCAAUUAAUUUUUUUUAACCAUAAACUUUGGGAGCAGUACAGUACUGUCUCUAUCACCAAAACUAUAACUGUCAUUGUUAUACUUAAGAUCAGUAUUCAUCUGAUCUUGUACCCCAAGAACAAUGACUGCACAUUGAUUAAUUGACCAAGAAUGGAUGACAAACCAAUCUAAAACUAAUCAAAUAGAAAACAACAGAGAUGAAGAGUAAUACAUAACAGAGACAAAUUUACAGCGGUUCAGCCAUGGUGGCUUACACCCUCUUUGAGAAACAGAGCUAUGGCUUCCACUACUGCAAAUCAAGAUAACAAGUUUAUCUUUAGAGAGUCACAAAGAAUACUUUCAACCAAAUAACAGCAACUAAGAGCUUAUAGGCAGGAUCUGGAAGCCUCCCUCAAGUCGGUUUAGAAGCCAGCUUGCUAUCUGCUUGUUUCCCGCUUCUUUUAACCGUCUCUAAUAGCAUUGUACACUUGCUGAUCAUGUGACAUCUUUAAGUAAGCUAAACGACAUUUUAACUGCCGUUUUGAGCUUAUAUAAUGUUUUAACUGAAUCAUGUGAGUUGCACACUUCACGGAACAUGCUCGUCUGACACUAAAAGCAUGUCAUAAUGAGACUUUGGAGUUACAAGUGACAAGUUGUCACAUGCUUCACAGCUAUAACCUACAUCAUUGUUUGUUCUUGUAUUCUAAUUCAGGUUCAUACUUCUAACAAUUAUCAUAGAGUAAAUCCUUGAUUUGUCACACUCAAUCGAUUUUUUUUUUAAAUCUAUUGAAACAAUGAGCAAUAUAAUCUAGAAUAUAGAAUUUGGGAUUAUGGAAUUCAAAACCCUGAAAAACCAAAUUAAAAAUUAGGGUAAUGAAUUGAAACAACUAACCUUAACAAGCCAAUUGUAUUGGGGGAGAGAGAGCAACGCAGCUGAAAUCACAGGAUGAGAGAGCAACACCACUGUGGAUUUAGGAGACAGAGACAGUGAGACCUGUUGGCGUGAGUUGUAAAUUAAGAGAUAAAUCAGAGAGAUUAUAGAAGUUAACCAAAUCAGAGAGAUUUCAGGAAUAUUCUAGCACUAAAAAUCUGUAUAGCCCAAAAAUAACGUAGCAAAUCUCUCUAUAAAUGUAUACAAUACCUCUGUAACUUGAGGAAUGGAAAAUAUACUGAAACAAAUUGACAUGGUAUCAGAGCAAGUUACGACCUGGUCCCUUGUUCGCGCCCAGUCCUAAGAUUUAGCCUCGUAUCUACCUAUGGAAGCCACCGAAACACCAAUCCAGACAGAGGAAUCCACCACCGACCGGAUUCUCUCUGAAUUACUCACCUCCAAGAUGGCCGAAGCUCUGUCCAAAGCCCAGGCCCCAACCGUGACCUCAGAACCUGCAGCUCUACCGAUUGGCAUCAAGUUGGAUGGCUCCAACUAUGGCUUGUGGUCCCAAGUUGUCGAGAUGUACAUCUCCGGCAAAGACAAGUUGGGCUACAUUAACGGCGAACUGACCCCGCCAUCCCCUACCGACCCGUCCUUUCGCAAAUGGCGCACCGACAACGCCAUUGUCAAAGGAUGGCUUAUCAACUCCAUGGAUCCGACGUUAAUUGGAAACUUUUUUCGGUUUCCCACAGCCAAACAGGUGUGGGACUCUGCUGCCACCACCUAUUUUGAUGGUGGUGAUACAUCCCAAGUUUAUGAUCUCCGGCGCCGUGUUUCACGUCUCCGUCAAGCAGGUGGAUCCCUGGAAAAAUAUUACACUGACUUGCAAGGUCUUUGGCGUGAAAUUGAUUUUCGACGUCCAAAUCCAAUGGAAUGCCCUGCUGAUAUUCAAAGGUAUAAUAAUCUCCUCUAGGAAGAUCGGGUCUACGUUUUUUUGGAUGGUCUUGACGACAAGCUGGAUAACAUCCGAAGUGACGUGCUACAUCUACAGCUGUUUCCCACCAUAGAGCAAGCUUAUGCUUAUGUCCGUAGAGAGGCUCUUCGUCAGAUGGUGAUGAACGUAGGUGACCAUGAACCCCCUCUAGGAGCAGUGCUUGCUUCGAGAGGCCUCAAGCUUGGGAUCCAUGGAUCGAACCCACAGCAUGCUGGAAAAUCUGGCUCUAAAGGCCGAUCAUCAUCUGACGGAUUAAAAUGCACUCAUUGUGGCAAUAUGAAGCACACACGGGAAAAUUGCUUCCAACUGCAUGGAUAUUCAGACUGGUGGCAUGAACUCCAAGCCCGAAAGAAACAAGACACUGCUGGUACAAGUACAGGCAUAGGCAAGGCUGCUGUAGCAGCAGUCGAACCGUGUCUUUCUCUAAUUCCUCAACAGAAUUUUUCUUCUGUGGAUCCAGGUAAUCCCUGUCAUGCCUUAAUUAGUUCUCACUGCAAUACCAACCGUGAUAAUUGGUUACUUGACUCUGGGGCCACAGAUCAUAUGACCUUUGAUCCUGCGGAUCUUUUUCACGAUUCAUCCCCACGGCGCACUAGCAUUGCAAAUGCCAAUAGAGUGGUCUCUCCUGUCACAGGAGCUGGUUCUGUGACAUUAUCACCCUCUCUUCAAUUAUUCAACACUUUACUUGUUCCCUCAUUAUCCCACAAGUUACUAUCUGUGAGUCAAAUUACCACAGACCUGAAUUGUGUGGUACUCAUGUUUGCUGAUUUUUGUCUUAUACAGGAUAUUCUCACCAAGGAGAUAAUUGGGCGUGGUACUAAGAGGGGGGGGAUUAUACUACAUGGAAGAUUUCAGUAUGGGGAGAGCUCAUCACGUGUCUUCUUCACUAAGUUCCAAGACUCGACAGAUUUGGUUGUGGCAUCGCCGUUUGGGACAUCCAUCAUUCGGGUAUCUAAGGCAUUUGUUUCCUGAUUUAUUUUCUGAUGUAGAAACUUCUGAGUUAAACUGUGAUACUUGUAUUUUAGCCAAGAGUCAUAGGGCUACUUAUUCUUUAAGCAUGAAUAAAAGUGACAUUCUUUUUGCUUUAAUACAUUCCGAUGUAUGGGGACCAUCCCCCGUGUCUAUUGUCUCUGGUGUACGUUGGUUUGUAAUAUUUGUUGAUGAUUGCACACGCAUGACCUGGCUAUAUUUGCUGAAACAUAAGGAUGAAGUAUUUAAGGUUUUUCAGUCAUUUCAUGCUAUGAUUCAGACUCAAUUUUCAGCUCAGAUUCGAAUCCUUCGUUCUGACAAUGGUGGAGAAUAUGUCAAUCACCAUUUUCAGUCCUAUUUUCAACUCCACGGCCUUAUUCAUGAAACUUCAUGUCCCCAGACACCACAACAAAAUGGGGUAGCUGAAAGGAAAAAUCGACAUAUUCUUGAAACUGCCCGAGCCCUCCUUCUCGGCGAACAUGUUCCCACAAGACAUUGGCCCGAUGCUGUUACCACUGCUGUCCAUUUGAUCAACCGCCUUCCAUCCAAGGUCUUACAUUUCCAAACCCCACUCCAAUCCUUGUCAGCCUCGGUCUCUCUACCUUCUACCCUCAUGCUCCCACCCCGCAUCUUUGGUUGUGUGGCGUAUGUUCAUCUUCAUAAGAACCAGCGUAACAAACUUGACCCUUGUGCCCUUCGAUGCCUCUUCUUGGGCUAUGCUACCCACCAAAAAGGCUACCGCUGCUAUGACCCUACUACUCAGCGUACUUAUGUGACUAUGGAUGUCACUUUUUUGGAGUCCGCUUCUUUUUACCCUUCCUCAGUAUCCACUACUCCUCUUCAGGGGGAGACACUAGAUGAAGAGCUGAAGUGGCUAACCUUUGAGUGGUUUGAGGAUCAGAAUGACACACCAUCAGAAGAAGAACCUCUGGCAGCUGAGCCUAUACCAUCUGAAGAAGAACCUUUGGCAGUUGAGCCUAUACCAUUCGAAGAAGAAGAAUCCCCCCUCUUGGUCGCUACAAGCACAUCUCCUGAGAAUAUUCCUGAGGUAAGUAAUAUUGGCACACCCUCAAUUAUCAAUGCUAUAGAUACUGGGUAUAACUUACCUUUCAGGCAAAACCGGGGCAAACCACCAAACAGAUACUCCCCAGAAAUGGAGGAAAGAAGGUUGAGGUAUCCAAUUGCCAACUAUGUUUCCACUGAAAAAUUGCCUGAGCCACUCAAGAGUUUUUCACAGGAGCUCUCUGCAUGCCAUAUUCCUACUACAGUUCAGGAGGCAUUAAUGGAUCCUAAGUGGACUAAAGCAAUAGAGGAAGAAAUGGGCGCACUACUAAAGAAUCAAACAUGGACCUUGGUCCCACUACCCCAAGGGAAGAAGAAAGUGGGUGCAGGUGGGUCUUCUCAGUUAAACAUAAGGCAGAUGGAUCUAUAGAACGAUAUAAGGCGAGGCUAGUUGCAAAAGGAUACACCCAGACAUAUGGCGUAGAUUACCAAGAAACUUUUUCACCAGUGGCUAAACUAAAUACAGUCAGGGUUUUGCUAUCACUCGCAGCCAACCUUGAUUGGCCAUUACAUCAGUUGGAUGUAAAGAACGCCUUUCUCCAUGGCGAUCUUGAAGAGGAAGUCUACAUGGACACUCCUCCAGGUUACACAGCAUCUUCAAAAACUGAAGUAGUAUGCAAGUUGCAGUGUGCAUUGUAUGGACUGAAACAAUCACCUCGAGCAUGGUUUGGACAGUUCAGUCAAGCAAUGAAAAUGUAUGGCUUCUGCCAAAGCAAUUCAAAUCAUACAUUAUUUUUAAAGCAUCAACGGGGCAAGGUAACAGCUUUAAUUGUAUACGUUGAUGACAUGAUCAUUACAGGGGAUGAUACAGAGGAAAUGGAUAAACUUCAGAAACAAUUGGCAAUCAAAUUUGAGAUGAAAAAUCUGGGAGGACUUAAAUAUUUCCUGGGAAUAGAAGUUGCUAGAUCAAAGAAAGGUAUAUUCUUAUCUCAGCAAAAAUAUAUACUAGACUUACUUUGUGAGGUUGGAAUGCUGGAGUGUAAGCCAACAGACACUCCAAUUGUUCAGAAUCACAGGCUCGGAGAACAUCUAAAUCAAGUGCCAACUGAUAAAGGAAGAUACCAGAGGUUAGUUGGGAAACUGAUUUACCUCUCGCAUACCCGUCCUGAUAUUGCUUAUGCAGUGAGUAUUGUAAGCCAAUUUAUGCACCAACCGAGUAAGGAUCAUAUGGAAGCAGUAAUACGGAUUUUGCGAUACUUAAAAUCCUCCCCAGGAAAAGGACUUAUGUUUGCAAAGAAUAACCACCUCAGAGUUAAUGGUUAUACAGACGCAGAUUGGGCAGGGAACACCAUAGACAGAAGAUCCACCUCAGGCUACUUCAUGUUUGUUGGGGGAAAUCUUGUUACAUGGAGGAGUAAGAAGCAAAAGGUGGUGGCACUGUCAAGUGCUGAAGCAGAGUUCCGUGGAAUGGCUAAAGGACUUUGUGAACUUCUAUGGCUGAGAAGACUUCUAACAGAAAUUGGCUUUGCACCUAUCAGUGAAAUGGAACUCUUUUGUGAUAACAAAGCAGCGAUUGCUAUUGCUCAUAAUCCUAUCCAACAUGAUCGCACUAAACACGUGGAGAUUGAUAGACAUUUUAUUAGAGAAAAUCUCGAAGCUAAAAUAAUUCAGUUUCCAUUUGUGAAGUCCGAAGAUCAACUAGCGGAUAUUCUUACAAAGGCCGUAUCAAGCAGAGAGUUUUACAACUCACUAGACAAGUUGCGCAUUGAAGAUUUGGAUGCUUGCACUUGAGGGGGAGUGUUGGCGUGAGUUGUAAAUUAAGAGAUAAAUCAGAGAGAUUAUAGGAGUUAACCAAAUCAGGGAGAUUUCAGGAAUAUUCUAGCACUAAAAAUCUGUAUAGCCCAAAAAUAACGUAGCAAAUCUCUCUAUAAAUGUAUACAAUACCUCUGUAACUUGAGGAAUGGAAAAUAUACUGAAACAAAUUGACAAGACCGAGCGAGUGAGGGAACAAGAUGCUUGAGACGAGAGACAGAUAAAGCUAUCACUGUUACUGUGAGGUGAAACAAAAUAGAGCUGAGAUUGACCUUGCGUGGAGGCGGGAGAGAGAGACCCAAGAAGAUGCUGUUGUUGUGUGGCGAGGGAGAAAGGAGGGAGAUGUUGUCGCUAUGUGGUGAGAUUUGUGUAUGUUUGUUGUGUGCAUGUGUGUGUGUUGUUGCACGUACGAACAUGAAGCUUUUAUACUUUGUGUUUUGUGCUCUCAAAUACCAUUUUCCUAAACAAAAAUUUCAAAAUGGAAAAAGGAUAAAAGUGAAGGAAAAGUUAUUUAAAAUAUUUGAUAAAUUUCAAAAAAAAAAAAUUGACAGGUGUCAAAAUAUUAUUAGUCGGUAGUUCCAUAUCAUAUUAUAACAUAGAAACACUAAUGUACUAUAGAACUUCUUCUGAGCCAGCUAACUUAGCGGUAAACAUUUUCUUUACCUUGUUAUAGGGCAAUGUGCUCAUGUUAAUCUUGACUUAAGAGUAUCACCAAAAAAAUUUUUAAAUAAUACUUCACAUCAUUUGGAGGCUACAUCAAUAAUAAAAUUUAUAAAGGGCUCUUGAAAUGAGAUUGUGUAAAUGAUAUUGUCAUUCUCUCUUUUCAAUAUUGAAGAGUAACUUCUCUCUCUCUAUUUUUUAAAAAAAUAAUAUUAUUCUACUUGUUAUGUUACCAUUAUUUUAUAGAGACGUACUACAACUACAUUAUUAAAAAAAGAAUAGUGUUACAUAUUCUAAUUUUUUUAUCCAAUGAUAAGGUAUAAAUUAAUUGGUUGGCGAAAUAAUACAAUUAAUUCAUUUGAAUCUUGUAAAAAACUACCAACCAUUUAAUUAAUGAUGCAUUAUUUCGGAUGAAAUUUGAAAUAAAAAAUUUAGUAUAUCUAUUAUUAUUCUUGAAGAAAUAGAGGGUAGUUAAAUUUGGUGAGGAAAGAAUUUGAUUAAAAUAAGAUAAAUUUCUUUUCUAUUUGGAGAGUCUUUUAUGGAAAAACUUGUCUUUUUACUCUCCUGCUUGAUAUAUAGAUCAGUAAUAAGUAUUUAAAUAAGAAAAUUAGAUGAGUUUUUAUGAUGUUCUAAAAUUUUAUUUAUUUGACGUGAACUUUUGAAUUAGAUGCCCAAUAAGCCCAAGGCUUAUGAUAAUAAAAACUCGGGGUUUCCCCUUCACAUAGUGCUAUUACAUUAUGGCAAUAAUAAUAGUAAUGAUUAAUAAUUAAUAAUAUUUGUAGCUAGCGAGGGAAAUUAGGAUACUUUUUGUGUCUAAUGUCACGGGAUGAGUGUUUUGCGCGUAUUACACAAAGAGAGAUUACAAUGCUUGUUGGAUACAAAUGCUUAAUGCCAUCCCAUAUUUAUAGGGGAGGCUUUGCCUAACUUUGCCUAACUUUACCUAACUUUGCCUAACUUUACCUAACUUUGCCAAACUUUUGACCUUGCGUGGAGGCGGGAGAGAGAGACCCAAGAAGAUGCUGUUGUUGUGUGGCGAGGGAGAAAGGAGGGAGAUGUUGUCGCUAUGUGGUGAGAUUUGUGUAUGUUUGUUGUGUGCAUGUGUGUGUGUUGUUGCACGUACGAACAUGAAGCUUUUAUACUUUGUGUUUUGUGCUCUCAAAUACCAUUUUCCUAAACAAAAAUUUCAAAAUGGAAAAAGGAUAAAAGUGAAGGAAAAGUUAUUUAAAAUAUUUGAUAAAUUUCAAAAAAAAAAAAUUGACAGGUGUCAAAAUAUUAUUAGUCGGUAGUUCCAUAUCAUAUUAUAACAUAGAAACACUAAUGUACUAUAGAACUUCUUCUGAGCCAGCUAACUUAGCGGUAAACAUUUUCUUUACCUUGUUAUAGGGCAAUGUGCUCAUGUUAAUCUUGACUUAAGAGUAUCACCAAAAAAAUUUUUAAAUAAUACUUCACAUCAUUUGGAGGCUACAUCAAUAAUAAAAUUUAUAAAGGGCUCUUGAAAUGAGAUUGUGUAAAUGAUAUUGUCAUUCUCUCUUUUCAAUAUUGAAGAGUAACUUCUCUCUCUCUAUUUUUUAAAAAAAUAAUAUUAUUCUACUUGUUAUGUUACCAUUAUUUUAUAGAGACGUACUACAACUACAUUAUUAAAAAAAGAAUAGUGUUACAUAUUCUAAUUUUUUUAUCCAAUGAUAAGGUAUAAAUUAAUUGGUUGGCGAAAUAAUACAAUUAAUUCAUUUGAAUCUUGUAAAAAACUACCAACCAUUUAAUUAAUGAUGCAUUAUUUCGGAUGAAAUUUGAAAUAAAAAAUUUAGUAUAUCUAUUAUUAUUCUUGAAGAAAUAGAGGGUAGUUAAAUUUGGUGAGGAAAGAAUUUGAUUAAAAUAAGAUAAAUUUCUUUUCUAUUUGGAGAGUCUUUUAUGGAAAAACUUGUCUUUUUACUCUCCUGCUUGAUAUAUAGAUCAGUAAUAAGUAUUUAAAUAAGAAAAUUAGAUGAGUUUUUAUGAUGUUCUAAAAUUUUAUUUAUUUGACGUGAACUUUUGAAUUAGAUGCCCAAUAAGCCCAAGGCUUAUGAUAAUAAAAACUCGGGGUUUCCCCUUCACAUAGUGCUAUUACAUUAUGGCAAUAAUAAUAGUAAUGAUUAAUAAUUAAUAAUAUUUGUAGCUAGCGAGGGAAAUUAGGAUACUUUUUGUGUCUAAUGUCACGGGAUGAGUGUUUUGCGCAGCUAACCCGUGCGGCACUUAAACAACUUUGCCGAAUGAUGCUAAGUAAGCCUAGAGAUUCUCGAACAAGAGAAGAGAGCAAUUGAGCCAAAGAAACUUGUAUUGCACAAAGAGAGAUUACAAUGCUUGUUGGAUACAAAUGCUUAAUGCCAUCCCAUAUUUAUAGGGGAGGCUUUGCCUAACUUUGCCUAACUUUACCUAACUUUGCCUAACUUUACCUAACUUUGCCAAACUUUGUCAAACUCUAGAGUAUUUUACAAUUUCCUAGCUAUUUGCAUGUGCUGAAAUUGUAUAAAGUAUUCUAGAAUAUUUACAUGUUCACAUGUGCUAGAGUUGCCUAGAACCUUCCGGAAUUGGGCCAAGUUAGCACUCUUGGCCUUGUGUUGGCUCUCUAGCCCGAAAUUGGAGCAAUUGGGCUAGCGAAUUGGGCGGUCCGCAACACUAAGCUGACUUAUCAUUUGAAGUAUCAAGGGUCUAGGAUUUUUAUUCAACGGGUCCGGGUCCAUAAUAAAAAAAUCAUGCAUCUAAAUAGAUUAUAACAUAGAAUUAGUAAAAAUGAGAGGGCCAACCAAACGUACCACAACGUGGAAACUAGAAAAUUAGGUACGCCAUAACAUAAAAUCUAUAGCAGCGAAGGUGGCACACGAAACAUAUGCCUGAUAAAGUUGGGAAUAUUUCAAUUUAAUCUCUUGUUGUUCUUGAAAUUUUUUUAGCACAGGGCCCUAGUCCCAUGCCUGCACAUAUAUUCCGCCAACGAUGAUUAGAUAUCUGAAACAACACAAUCCAAGAGACAAGUCUCUCAUAUAAGUUUUUAAUUGUAGAAUUACAUUGUAAUAUU